GUGGUGGUGGGGGAGGGGACUUGUACUUGUAGGGUGGUGGUGGAGGAGACUUGUACUUGUAUGGCUUCUUGGGUGGUGGAGGAGGAGAGUACACUGGUGGUGGUGGGGGAGGGGACUUGUACUUGUAGGGUGGUGGAGGAGGAGACUUGUACUUGUAGGGCUUCUUGGGUGGUGGAGGAGGAGAGUACACUGGUGGUGGUGGGGGAGGGGACUUGUACUUGUAGGGUGGUGGUGGAGGAGACUUGUACUUGUAUGGCUUCUUGGGUGGUGGAGGAGGAGAGUACACUGGUGGUGGUGGGGGAGGGGACUUGUACUUGUAGGGUGGUGGUGGAGGAGACUUGUACUUGUAUGGCUUCUUGGGUGGUGGAGGAGGAGAGUACACUGGUGGUGGUGGGGGAGGGGACUUGUACUUGUAGGGUGGUGGUGGAGGAGACUUGUACUUGUAUGGCUUCUUGGGUGGUGGAGGAGGAGAGUACACUGGUGGUGGUGGGGGAGGGGACUUGUACUUGUAGGGUGGUGGUGGAGGAGACUUGUACUUGUAUGGCUUCUUGGGUGGUGGAGGAGGAGAGUACACUGGUGGUGGUGGGGGAGGGGACUUGUACUUAUAAGGUGGUGGUGGAGGAGACUUGUACUUAUAUGGCUUCUUGUGUGGUGGUGGAGGAGAGUACACUGGAGGUGGUGGAGGAGGAGACUUGUACUUGUAUGGUUUCUUGUGGUGUGGUGGUGGUGGAGAGUGCACUGGUGGUGGGGGAGGAGAUUUGUAUUUAUAAACAGGUGGUGGAGGUGGUGGAGACUUGUACUUGUAAGGUGGUGGAGGAGGUGGAGAGUAAACUGGAGGAGGAGGGGGUGGUGAUUUGUAAUGGUAAGGUGGAGGAUGCACCGGUGGAGGUGGUGAUUUCUUGGGAGGAGGAGGAGAGUGGUAUGGGUAGUUUGCUGUGGUUUGUGAAGGGAAACUUAAAGAGACUGUGACCACUAAAAGAGUAACUAUAAGAGAGGCCAUAUUAGACCCCAUGCUUUCUAAAACCUCACUACAAAGUUGGUUUUAGUUCUGCUUCUCGAUCAGCACUCUCUUCUCUUUAUAUAGAUAAUGUCUUUACCCUCUAACCUAAAAACUAAUCAUGGUAAAAUUGACUUCAACAAAACAAUUAUCCUUUGUAAAAAAGACAGAAAGAGAAGGAAAAAAAAAAAAAAAGACAACUACUGUGGAUUUGUCUGAUAUGUGGGUUCCUAUUAUUAUUAACAAUAAUAAUGUGACUAUUUUGAUUUGUCUUCACAUGAGACUGCAAGCUCAGCAAGGAUAAGAAAUUGCCAAAAAAAAAAAAAAAAAAAAAAUUAAACCUCCACUUUAUAUAAUAACCGUUUUAUUAAAUUUUAAACUCGUGUGAAAUUUAUAGCAAUCAAAUUCUUAAAAAAAUAAAAGAAAAAAGAAAAACAGUAAAGACUAGGCAAUUUGCAAUUUAGCUUUAGUAAUGCGAUAAUAAAGUCUUUGUGAUUUCUUGACGUAUAGCUAUGAAAACGUGUGAAAUGGAUUCUUAACUUUUGAUGGUUCGUUAUCUCUGGGACCAGGCGGCUGUGACUAAUUUCCCUUUCUCUCUCUCAUUUUGUACGGUCUGCGGUCUCUACUUCACCCUAUUGGCAUUUCCUUUGGUUUCUUUUGUAUCUGUGGGCAAACUGCAUCCAUCAACUUUUAUUCAAUUCAUUUUAUCUCAUUGUCUGAUUUAACGGGAAAGAUCGUACACUAAUAAAUUUAAUAGCGAUAAAAAUUGACAUAAAUACAAAGAAAAAAAAAUCAUACUGCAGGAUAACUUUUUUUCAUUCACGAUGAUCAAUUAUUGAUUAGACGUCAGAAUUGAUUAUAUAACUAAGUUGGAAAUUACCAAGUUGAAAGAGUCUUAGACGAGCCUUGUAACACUCAAGCUGAAUGUAAUCAGAGUAAUGAAUGUAAUCAGAGUAAAGUGAACUUCGAAUAUGGUGGUUCCAGAAAAGAAAGAAAUCACUAAUUAUGUGAUUGCUAACUAAUGAUUUUUAAUGUAUAAUGAAUAUUAGUAUAAUGAUUUCUAAUAAUGAAUAAUGACUUUUAGGCAGAAAUAUUUUUAAAAUUUUGAAGUUAAAAUGCAAGUUGUAUAUGAAACUGUCAAAGUUCAGAAAGUCGAUCAAUGACGAGCAGUGGUCCAUCAAAAAUUAUUAAAGAUAGAAGACUAUUCACCUCUGUCUCUGUCCUUCCUCUAGCUAUCUAGCUAGGAGGCAGUCAAUUUGAUUAGUUUCAAUAUCUUCUGUUAAUUAAUUAAUUAGAGAAUAAUUAAUUAUACAAUAUUUCAACACAAUAAUUAAUUCAUAAAUCGCACAUUUCUGUUAAUGUUGUCCAAUUAUUUUAGUCACCGACUGAUAAAAUAGUCCAAAAUGCUAACUAAUCAAGGUUAGCCGAAAUCAAUAGUUGUACAUAAUAAAAGAGUUGGUGAAGACUGAGUGAUGCGAUGCAGAAGAAUCUCUCUUUGCCAAGAAAAAAGACAUGGAGAUGGUUUGGUAAAUGGAACAGAAAGGUUAAGUUUGACUGUUUCUCAGAUCUAGAAAGAACUAGAUAUAUAAUUAUUAAUUUAUUAUACAUAAUCAUCAAUUAAUCUACCUUAUUUUACAAUAACUAAGAUCCAGAGUUUAUACAUCUUGACAAUAUUACCUUUUUACCAUUUCUAUAUGACCUAAAAGGGUACUGAAAUGUAUUGUUAAUCAGUGAAAUAACCUAAUAUUUUCUUUUUCUUUUUGUUGGUUAAAUAAGAAAUACAUAAUUCGUAGACAUAGUUACUACAUAUAUACAAUUUACAAUAUUAUGGUAACUUAAACGACUUGGUUUAAAUAUGAUUAUUUUUGUAUAUUCAAAAAAAAUAUAUGGUUAUUUUUGUAAAAAUCUAUUUGUUUGUGCCAAAAAUAAAUAUAUUUUUGAAUAAGUAGGUCAACUUUGGGAUUUUUUUUUUUUGGGUGCAUGUCACAAUUAAAAUAAUUAAUGUGAUUGUUAAUUAUGGAAAAGGAAAGGGAGAAGCAAUUGUGGAAAAAAUUCAAUAAUCAAAAAUAUUAGGCAGGGUAGUUAGCUCAUGCAAUCAAACAAAUUCAAAGCAUAAUUUUGUAAAUGUAGGCAGUUUAGGUGGAAGCAAUUUUUCUAAUAUUAUUAUCUCUUAUGUUUGAAAAUAUGAUUUCAGCUUAAUUAGUCAAAUGUGACAAAAAAAAAAAAAAAUCACAAUAAUAUACAACUAAAAUGAAAGAAUAAAUAAAAUAAAAUAAACGAACAUAGGAGGGGCUUAGGUGGUACGCUAGCUUGAGUUUAAUGGAUGACCUCUAUAGCGAAAGUUUUAAUUUAUAGAAAAAUAAUUAUAAGAAGUGGGUUUUGGAUAUUUAUAACUUUCUUUUUUUUUUUUAAUAAUUACUCUUUCCGUCUCAUUUUGUUUACAUGAUUUGACAAAAUACGCAUAUUAAGAAUUUAGAUAACAAAAAUUAUUUUAUCCUUUUUUACCUUUAACUCAUUAAGAUAUUAAUAAAAAUCUUUCGUUUAAUAAAUAAGUAUAAAUAUUAUUAUAGAAAAAAUAAUUAUUUACAUAUCUAAAUUUAAAAACCUUGCAAACAAUUCAAUUCAAUUUAAUAAUUACUUAUUGUCACAUUUAAUUUUUCCAAGACUGCUCAUUUAUUUUCAUUAACCAGUAUUAAUUCUUGUCCAAGACUGCCUACGAAAAUGGAAGUUGCUUUAUACUUCCUCCGCGGACAAAUAACUGUGGCAUUUGCAAAAAUAUUACGUAAACACAUUUAUGAAUUUAAAGUAAUAAUAAAUUUAUUUUUCUAUAUUUUUUAAAUACAAAAUAUUUUAGGUCCGAAUAAGACUUUAUAACUAACAUUUAUUGCAAUAAUUUCUAAAAAAAAAAUAUCUCUUUCUAUUGUACAUAAGGAUAACAUAAUUAAUAUAUUUAUAAUUUAUUACAAAUUAAACAAAUUAAAUAAUUUUUUUAAGAAACGAGAAAAAUAUGGAUUUAUUUGCCGAUAAAAGGAGUAAUUUAAUUUGAUGAGAAAUCUUCAUAUACUAAUAGUCCUCGACAAUCUAAUUUAAACUCAAAACAUUAAGGAGAGUUGAAUAUAAACCAAUGUAAUAGAGUUGUUGUCAAUUAGGAAAAUAUUAUUUAGGGAUAGAGAAAUAUAAGUUUUAGAUUAAUGGGACUCAAAUCAUCAAAGGGGUAUUAAAUAUUUUGUUAUCUUGGUAUGAGCUAUUCUUGAUCUUUUUUAAAAUAUUUUUUACUAGUACAAUUCUAUGCCUUGAAUCCUAAAAUAUUGAAUCAUGAAAAAACAGCAUGAGUCGCGCCACCAAGUGGGGCAUUCUUGUGGCUCAAUUAGUAAUAGUUCAUCACAACCUUCCUUUUCAAGGAAUUGGUGUUAUCCAUCCUCCAUGGCUGGAUAGCAACUCUCUCUGAAAUCAAAAUAAUAAUAAUAAUAAUAAAAAAAAACAUUAGAACUCCAAAUUCUACACCCAUAACCAUAAGGUGCAACUUGAAUUAUUUUAGAUUAUUUUCUUUACUUAUUCCACCUUAAAUAAAUACUUCUUCGGUCUAAUAAAAAUAGAUUAAAAAAUAAUUGAAGUAAAAUUUUCAACUUUAUUUUUUUAAUAUACUCAUAGUAUUAAUAUUCGAUGUCACUUCGGAUGAGAAACAAAAAAUACAAUGAAAAUUGAUAAUGAUUGGUGAGAUAAAAAAAAAAAAAAAAAUCUCUUUGAGAUGAUCUCUAUUUCCAAUGAGAAAAUGACUAGUGCCUACCAAAUUACACGUGUUUUACAAUAUUUAAGUUAGUAGCCAAUCACUAUUUGUUUAUCCCCAGUUGGUUAGCAUAUUUUAGAAUUUUAUGUUUUCAAGGCAAUCAUUUACAUUAUUGAUACUGCUCUUUCGUCUCAAAAAGAUAAUUCGCUUUUUAUUUUCAUACAGAUUAAUAAAUAUGGUUAAAAGACAAUUUUAUUCAUAUAACUCUCUUAUUAUACUCAUUUUAAAUAACAUAUGAGUAUUGGAAUAAUAAUUAAGAAUUAUUGAAGAUUAUUGAAAAUAAAGUAAAAUUUAAUACAGAUAUAGUAGACAAUUCAAAAAUUAAUUAUAGUAUAAAAAAAGAAAGUGGACUAUAUUUAGGACAAUAGGAAAGAAAAGAUGAACUGUCCCAAAAAAAUGUGCCAAAUUGUCAGAUAAGCACCUCGACUUUACAUUAAAACUCGAUAGGACCUUUUUAUUUUGUCAAUGUCAAUUAGGCCCUCCAAAUUUUUGAAUUGGGAAAAACAAUCUUCAUGUGCCAUUGAAGAAGAGAAAGAAACAGGAUGCAAUAAAUACGAAUAACUGUAGAUAUAUAAUUUAAAACCUAAUUUCAAAAAAUUAAAUUCAAUAAAAAAAAAAAAUUAACCCCAGUUUAUCAAUUAAAAAGAUGAUAUCAAAAUGACUAACUCAUUAAAUAAAUUAAAAAGGAAUCAUAAAAUUGAGGGGCAUUUGUGAGCAUUUGGCCAAAAUAACGAAAUUGACUAGUUGAAUAAUUAAUCAUCAAUCUUCCUUUUGAACUUUGAUAACUAAAAUUGACUGCCUGACAUGUAAUUUGGUAGAAAUGCAUUCACUAAACGUGAUUAGAUUGAUUAAUUAUUUUACAGCUGUAUGAAUUGAUUAAUCCAAGUAUACAUUAUGCGCCUAUCAAAUCCAUAUUCCACCAAGCAAUCAAACACCUUUUAACUAAAAGCUAAUCUGAUUUGUCUUUACAUAUUCCUUAGAAGAUACGAGAGAAAUACGAGAAAUGAUAUGUCUCAAGUUCGAGUUCCUUCCAUCAUUGAAAUUUACUAUUAGUUUUGUGAUAUUAUUUGUCAGAAAGGGUACCUUUUUGCUGCUGAGCGCGUGUUGUUAUUUCGAUUCAUUGAGUUUUAUAUUACCAAUUUGAGAAUCGGUUAGGUCUCAUAUUUUACCAAUUUAAUAAAUAUUAUUCAAAAGGGAGAGUUUAUCUCCUAUUAAGUAGCUCAUUAUGUUAUUUCGAUCAAUUGAGCCUCUCAUUUAUAAAAAAAAAAAUAAAAAAAAAGAAAAAAAAUUUGCACAUCACUACUAUUACUUUUAUAUUUUUAAACGUUUAUGACUUCUAUUUAUCAUGCAAAUUAAACAAAUAUAUAUAUAUAUAUAUAUAUAUAAUUUUGUCAUAUGUGAUGUAUGAUUAAAAAUUUAUUUAUCAUCUCUCUUUCAAAGAAAAUGGACUUAGCCAUAUUAAAGAUCACAUAAACAUAAAUUUGUAAGUUUUUAAAGAAGAAUUAGAAAUGAUUUUUAUAUCAAUUUUGUAUAAUUGUGUAAUUGAAAGAUUAAUGUAUGUUUAAUUAUAAAUAAAUUUAUUCUCAUCUUAUAUUGAUAAUAAAUUUUAAUUUAGAAUUUUGUAAAGCUAUAUAUUACAUCACCUUUCAAAAUCUUUUAAUUUCAAGUAAAUUAUUUAAUUUCAACUGGACUUAUUAGCUAUACAAAAUAAGUAUGUGACAUUAGUUAACAUUUGAUAGCUUGAGAUAGAAGCGGGUAGGUACUCAGAAAUUUUGAACUCUCCAUAUUUGCAAAAUCCAUUUAAAUACCUGUUCAUUGUUUAUAUUUGAAUUCAUUAAUAAUUUAUUAUUAAUUCCAAAAUCAAAGUUUUCAUAUUAACAUUUUUACAAUAUGAAUUUAAAUGAAUAAACACGAGUAGAAUACUUGUGCCUCUGCUACGGAAUCCAAUAGAAAAUAGAUAGUAGGAAUCCAAAAAAUUUAAAUUACCUGGAAUCAUAUUUAGACUUGUGAAAUUGUAAGUUAAAAAUCUAAAUUGAAACCUAAAUAAAAAUAUGUAUAUUUUUUAAUAGAGUUAUUGCGAAAGGUAACAUUAUUAGUGACAAAUACAUUUAUUUAGAUAAAAUUACUCUUGUUUUAGCUCCACCUUUUAACAUACUUCUAAUUUAUAAUGUAAAAUUUUAUAUUUAGUUGAAAAGCCUCCUCCUCCUCCUCCUCCUCCUCCUCCUCCUCCUCCUCCUCCUCCUCCUCCUCCUCCUCCUCCUCCUCCUCCUCCUCCUCCUCCUCCUCCUCCUCCUCCUCCUCCUCCUCCUCCUCCUCCUCCUCCUCCUCCUCCUCCUCCUCCUCCUCCUCCUCCCUUNNNNNNNNNNNNNNNNNNNNNNNNNNNNNNNNNNNNNNNNNNNNNNNNNNNNNNNNNNNNNNNNNNNNNNNNNNNNNNNNNNNNNNNNNNNNNNNNNNNNNNNNNNNNNNNNNNNNNNNNNNNNNNNNNNNNNNNNNNNNNNNNNNNNNNNNNNNNNNNNNNNNNNNNNNNNNNNNNNNNNNNNNNNNNNNNNNNNNNNNNNNNNNNNNNNNNNNNNNNNNNNNAUAUAUAUAUAUAUAUAUAUAUAUAUAUAUUUUGCUUUUAAUUUUCAAAAAUGAUUAUUUUUCAAUUAUAAACAAUGUCUAAAUCUCACAUAUCAUAGUGAAAAAACUUAGAUUUAUCAUUGAUAUGUUAUCGCAAAUGGGAACAUAAAAAGCAUCUGAAUCAGGAAAAGAAAAGGAAUAGGUUAAUUAAUUAAUAGAAAAAUAAAUUGAUUUUACAGCCAAAAGCCAAAACAGAUCAUAACUUUAUCAAUUGAUGUAAAAUAAGAUAAUGCAAUUAAUUAAUUAAUUAGACUUUUUUUUUUUUAUAUAUCAAUCAAUUGAUAUAACAUGUGAUAAUGAACUUUGUUAGGUAUAUGUUUUGAAGAUGCCAUGCAAAAACUGUAACGUGUCUUCUUCUCCUUUUGUUAUUUGCCCUCGUGGAAAAAUUAGAUCGGUAGAAUUAUAUAAAUGUAUAAUAAUUUGGCUAAUGGGGAAAUUUAGUUAGAUGUUAGUAAUAAAUAAUUUAAUUAUAAGUACGUUUAUAUUCAUUGGGAGAUUAACAAAGACAUAGUAUUAAUUAUAUUUUUGUAUAAUAUAUCUGUAUAUAAUUUUCUUUUUAACGAAAUUUUCAAUUUGAUGUGUUAAUUAAAUAAAGAGAGAGUACUAUUAAUUAGGAGAUUAAUUUCUUUAGUCAUAAUGGAUUUUUUGGCCCAAUGCAAUCAAUUAAUCAAAACUUUGCUUCCAAAAUUGAGACUCUUGGCCAAUAAGGCCUUUACCUAACUGCUGGUUAGGUAAUCAUUUAUGUUGGGUAUUUAUAAUCAACCAUGCAGCGAAAUGAAAAUUACAUUACAUAAAUGAUUACACUGUAAUCAUGUGUAAUCUUCAUUACAUCUAAAGCUAUUACAUUCCUGACCACCAUCCCUACGUUAUUAUAAUUAUUACUGAAAUGUAAAAAUAUAGGAUCACGAAAUGUCUCCACAAACUUGAAGGUGUCGAAGGACAAAUCCCAUAAAGGAAAUCCAUGCAUUUGACUGAAAGUUAUUUCCAAGUAAAAUUUGGUGAGGCAAUAGCCGAAGAACGGGGAAUUGUUGCAAAGCCCUUAAAAACGGUUCGAUUCAACACGUGCGUUGUAAAGUAAUUAGUAUAUUUUCAGGGUCAAAAUUUCUUUAGUUCGGGCCACGAAUUCGGUUCAGCUGGGUUACGCAGUUGAACCGAACUCCAUGCCAAACCUACUGCGGACCUUUCUCACCUAAUAAAUAGUAAGCAAUAAGCAUUUGUGCUCACAGCUGAUACGUUAAUUAACAACAUAACGCUGUCGUUUAAUGGCAUAAUUUCAUACGCAUAAGCCACCUUAAAGGAUCUCGUAUAGAAAUUGUAUGUUACAGUUAAACAAAAUGAAAAACACAAUGAUUUCUUGAUUAUAAAUUUAGUAGCAUUUCAGAUUCACACAUUCCAAACAUCAGAUUACAAAUGAACGAAAAAUCAGAAGAGGCUCAGCAUCUAACGAUUAUCUUACAACACUUUUUCUGCUCCAAGAAAGAACUACAGGUUCAUCUCUAGUAAAAAAUCUAAAAAGUCUCUCUUUGUUUGUUUACAUAAUUAAUCUUUGAAAUUUCCCAUUCACUACUAUGUUGAUCUAAAGUACUAAACAAUUAGUGUUGCCAUGAUCAAGUAAUUCAAAUUGCAAGUUGUGGAGAGAUGUAUUGCUAAAAGAAAAAAUGCAGACCUCAAAAGGGGGAAUAAAUUAGAAAAUAGACAAUUGUUUCACAUUCAUGAUCACUAUCUUCAUUCUUCAACAAAAGUUUGUUCACCUCUUUCCACGACUUCCAGAGCCAGAUCUUGGACCAGGGUACCGAGAAAAUUGUAGCCUCAAGAAACUAGAUUCACGGUCAUGUUCAUCCAUUUUAUAACCUGCAGAAACAAAAUAUUUAAUGUUAGCACAUGGAAAUCCCUUGCUUUGGUUUCUUUCAAGGUUGAGAAAAAGAUAACAACAUGACCUUGUAAAGCGCUCAUAGCAGUUGCUGCACAGGCUGGAUUUUCAAAGUCAACAAAACAGAGGAUAAUAGGAUCUCCACCACGCUGCAUUAUUAUGAAGACAGAGUCAUACUUCUGACAUGUAAGGAACCGCAUAUGGGUAAAGAAAUAUUAUAGGACGAGUAGUUACAUGCUUAGAUUCUUUGCUCACAAGUCGCGCUUCCUUAUAUCCCACGAAAGGGCGAAAGAUAUCUGAAGAUCCAGUAAAGGAAUACCAAAAAAAGAAAUUGCAGAAACAUACCUUGGUUAACAAAGGCCACCACAAUCACUUAACAAUUAACACCAUUAUAACGUCAAAAGGAUACGAGCUACUUCCCUCCUUGUGCUGUCUGGAGGGAGUCCCUCGACAUAUAGAGUGCUGGAAGCAUCUGGAGGUAGAGGUACAGUUUCACGAACAGGCCUAGAUAUUGCAUCCAAUGAGGAUUGACUACCAAAACCAAUGUCUCGUCCAUUUGGUGCCAGAUCAGGAAUACUAGCCCGAGGACGGCCUGUCAUACCAGAAUCAAGUAUUGGAAGACCGGUAAUCCCACCACCACCAGCCCUUCCCAACCCAACGCUUAACCCACUAGGUUCUCCAGAAGAAAAAGAGGCCAUUUGCUUCAAAAGCAAUUAGGAUGACUAAAUAAGCAAACAACCUUUUACAAGUGAGGAGGAAAAAAAAUAAAUUUAUAAAAACAGCAGAAGGUUCAAGAGAGUACUGCAUUUUGCAGAUAGCGGUCAUAUGCUGAUCCAAUUGUCUUUGUAUCCUUCACAGCCUGAUACCUACUGCGUUCAUCAUCUCUUGGAUAGUAGUUAUGAAUCUCGUGGCUUGAAGGCAGGCCUGAUGUUGGGAGAUCUGAAAGCUCAAAAUAGAAACUUAAGUAUAAGUUUCAUUCUCAAAAUAAUCUAUUUCUCUUUCUCAAGUAUGUAGAUACAGCAGCUGAACAUGGAAGAUAAAGUCAAGAAAACAAAAGAACUUCAUUUGAAUUUUAAAUGCCCAUUGGCAUUUGAAGUAUAAACAAAACAAAAACAUUAUUUGGAUAGCUCAACAAACUUUAUGCUAAAAAGGAAUUGCACCUAGAGUUGACAAUGGUAGGCAGGAAGACAUAUUAAAUUACUAGAAAGCAUAUAUAUCAAAUUACUAAAGACACAGAUUAAAUUACUUGGAAACAUCCAUGAUUUUUAAGUACUUCUGACUGAAAUGGGUUUUACCCUAUGUAGAGAAUAUUGCUUAAGAAGGACAAUGAUAUGGACCCAUUAAAUUUAGUAGAAGGCAAUUAACAAAAUGUUGCUUAAUCUAUUUUAGGAUUUUUCAGGAAGGAUUUUAAGAGAAAACACAGGGUCAUAGUUAAACUACAAUAUCACAAAAAAGUUGGUCUGAUAAAUCACAAACUCAAGUUCAACGCUAAAAGAAGCACAAAAGAAGUACCAAUUUACAAAAGUGGUUCAUCUAAAUAACUAUAGCAUUCGUUAUAUAAAGGGCAGAGCAACUUAUAACAGCGUAAGCCAAUUUUUCUGUUUGAUAAUCAUCUGUAAAUUCUAAUAGCGAAUAAUCACUACUAAAAGAAAAGAAAGCUGAGAAAUGAAUUUUGACACUGCUUAGAACAAUGGCACUAUUAACAGGAUCCUAUAAAAGGUGACUCACUGCACCAAGCAUCCCACAUUUGUGGGCUCUAAGGAGGGUUUAUACACACAGCCUUCUCUCCGCUUUUAUAGAGAGGUUGUUUCUAUUACUCAGACCAUGACCUCCAAGUUACCAGUGGAGUAAUAUGAUCUUGUAUAUGCAAAAAUACACAACAAAAAUUCCAAUUCUGACAAGAAAAAUCUUUAAAAUGACGUCAAAACCAGGUAAUGCUUCAAUGUCAAACUAACGCAGGUUAAAAUGAAUGGCAUUCAACAGAAAUUGAAUCAACAUUAAGAUUAAAGCUGAGCAAUUCUCAUUAUACUGGAUAAAGCAGAUAAUAUUUAAAAAGGACUUGCAAUUUCAUACUCUCAAUCUUGUUAAAUUACAUGAAUCAGUCCUCAAAACAAUAUAAGCAAAUGGUCCAAGAAAAUUUCACAUUCAAAAUUGAGUGAACUCCAUAACCACACCAGAUUAUGUUUAAGUCCUAUAGGGGCUGAAUAGAAGAACCCUAAUUGCUCAAGCACUAAUUUUCCAUUUUCCACAAAAUUAAAGUCUAGAUAGAAUACCAAUGCUAUCUUACAUUUCACAAACAGAAUCAAGCAUACUAAUUAACUUAAUAAAGAUUUUAAUUAAGUAAAUUUCUAAUUACUUUACGGAAAUAAUUACGUCCUAAUAAACGGAAUAAUCUCUUACCAAACAAGAAGUAAAUAUGCAAUUUUUCCUAAAAAAAGAAAACGUUCCAUCAAUAGAAGCAAUUUAAAAAGAGAAGAAAGUGAAAGAUCUUACCGUAUUCGGUACGAGGUCGUUUUAGAUUGCCACCGCCACCGGAGGACAGAAGAGGAUGCUGCUGCCGAUUCCAGUACCCGUCCGUCAUGUUUCGGGCUCUUUUGCGACUGACUUCAGUGAAAGAGAAGAGAGUGUACGAGUUUUGGACUGAAAGGAGGAAUUCAACAAAAACAAAAGCCCUAAUUUCGAUCAAAAAGACAUUUGGCUUUGGAAUCGUGGUUACUGAGAAAACCCUUGAUAUUUUUUCUUAAACUAUCUUCUUAGGGGGGUUGGCUCUGUAAGAGAAUUGGGGAUCGAUUCACGAUUCAGUGUGGUAGAUUUUAUGUAUUCUUUUUGUUCAACCAAUAGAAUUAUGACACGUCAAAAUAGUUGUGGCGCGGAAAGAAAACGCGAAUGCUGUAUCUGAAGUAACUCUUAUUAUUGUCCGUUCCCCUCUCAUUUUUCUUGAAUUUUCAAUCUCUAAAAGAGAAAAUAAUAAUAAUAAUAAUAAUUUUACUGUUUUUUCUUACAUUUUGCUGGAAAUUUCAAUCAAACUUCUUAAGUAGUCUUAUACAAAAAUGAAAAAGCACAAGCCACCAAAAGAAAAUUUGAACAUAAAGUCUGCAAGUGAUCCAUUGCUCAUGUACUCAUAAACUAGAAUUAUGUUGCCUUUAUCUUGGUAGUGACCGAGUAAUUGAACAAGAUUUCUAUGGUUAGUUCUAUCAAUUCAUCUGAUUCUGGGAUUUCACUUCUCCUUCAGCUUUCUCCAAUUUCUUAACUGCAACAACUUAUCUGCCCAUCUGACAAGGCUCCCUUUAAACACUCCCAAAAGCUUCCCUUCCCAAUUUUUCAUUAAAGUCAUCAAUUGCCCUCUCAAGUUCUUCAUAUGUAAAUGAUCUUAGAGUAACAUCCUUAAAAAUUCCUUCAUUUUCUUUGUCAGAUACAUCCUAAAAGAGAGUUCAAUUCAUGCUUAAAUUCCAGAAUAUAUGGAAUUGAAGAAAUUAUUAAAUUUCUCUGGGUUCAAAUUUCAAAACUUUUCAGUAUUUUGUCCUGGAAAUUACUGAUAAGAAGUCAAGAAAAGUGCAAUUAAUGCGUUGCUAUGGCCACGGACCCUAUUCUGGCUUUUCUUUCUUUAAUUAACUUAUUUUAGUAAAAGAAAAGAAAAAUUCGCUUCAUUUUCAAUUAGGCCUUGCUCUUUACCAAGUAAACCUAUUUAGAUUACUUGCAUUUUAUGCAUUGCAGCAAUCAUAUGAUAUGAUUUCCAGGAAACAAGAUUAGAAGUAUAUGCAUGUGCUUUCACUGGAAUUGAUUGGUUCGGAUGUCCAUCUGGCCGGCAUUUGGGAAAUUUAAACAUUACCUGUUUUCUUAAUUUUUUUCUAACAGUUUGAUGUCGUUAUUUAACAUGUCUAGUUUACUGAAUAGUAACAACAAGUAUAAUUUAAAUUGAAAGCAAAAGAAAAGGAAAACAUAACAGAUUAUACGGAGAAAGUUAACUAAUUAAACAUUAGCACAAAAUUGAAUAGUUGCUUAACAAUCAAUAAUCUUGUUAAACUCAGGUCCUACAGGUACAACAAAACCAAUCAGAAAAUCUAAUAUGCCUAUGAAAUGGUCGUGUGAGACCCAUAAGCCUCAAGUAGAAGAUUAUAUGCAAAGGUCAUCACUGCACAGAACUGGAAAAGGAUGAAACAGUAGGAGGGUCUGGUAUGUCUAUUGUCCCUUCCAACAUCAGUACCACCUUCUUCAUUGAUGGCCGUGAUGAUGGCUCGUCUUGGAUGCACCAAAGUCCCACUUUUAUCAUCCUCUCAAUUUUACUCUCCUCAACGUCUUCGUUUUUAAUUAGCUUAUCCAGCUCCUUAACCUUAAAUCAUAGACCCAACUUGCUAAUACUACUUCGUUGUCUGGUGCAUCUAAGUCCACAUUCCUUCUGCAGCAUAUGAUCUCUAAUAACAUGAUUCCGAAGCUGUACACAUCUACUUUGACAGUUAUUGGUAAGUUAGUGUGCCACUCUGGUGCAACAUAUCCCCCUGUUCCCCUUAUUUCUAGUUUAAGUCUUGGAUUGUUUGUUGUAGGAACUUUUUUGUAUACAGAUAUAGAGAAGAAGAAGAAGAUAAGGAGCUGAAAAAGAGUAUGAGUAUGAGUCAAUACCAAAUCUCCAUAAUUUAAGGAAAUUUGUUCCCUUAUCUAAAGCUAAAAAUAAGCUCCACCACAAUUCAUUCAAACUUCUGGUACAUUCAUUAAUUACAUUACAAAAUAUCGAAAAAGAAACAAAAAGAGCAAAAUCUGGGCAUAGCUUUGUAUCAUAUUGUCAUGAAAAGUAACAUUUAUCAGUUGUGCAUUAACAGCUUGGAUAGACCGAAAUCAGCAAGUUUUGCGCGUUCUUUUUCAUCCAUUAGUAUGUUUUCGGGCUUGAUAUCACAAUGGAUGAUCUGAGUAUUGCAAUCUUCAUGCAAAUAGACGAUGCCUCGAGCUAUGUUUAGUGCUAUUUCAACUCUUGCCUCCCAAGAAGGUUUUUGCUCGGACUUGAAAAGAAAUUCUGCAAGUGAACCAUUGCUUUAGUACUCGUACACCAGAAGCCUGUUAGUUCCAUCAUGGCAGUAACCAAUCAAUUUAACCAAGUUUUUGUGAUGGGUUCUCCCUAUUAUGUUCAUCUCAUUUCAAAAUUCUCUUUCGCUUUCAGCCACAACAUUAUCCAGCCUCUUGAUUGCCACAACUUUAUGGCCAUUUGAUAUGACCCCUUUAAUCCGUACCAAAUCCUUCUUUACCAAUUUCAUCCUUGGAAUUGUUUGUAGCUUUUUGGAGCUCAUCACAUGUAAAUGCUCGCAAAAUGACAUCUCCAAAAAGUUCAUCAUUUCCUAGACUUGAAAUCUUCUGUAGUUCCAAACACGGUAUCUAUAGAAAAGAAUACCAAAAAUUAUCAGAAAUGAAACUGCAAGAGUUGAGAUUACAAUACAUGUCAUAACAAUUCCUGUUCUCAGACCUUCCUUUCUAUUCUUGGGUUCACCAAUUCUUGUUUUGAUAAAAGUUGUAACUGUUUUACUUUGUUCAACUUUCCCAGACCUUAAUGGAAGCUUUUGCUUUCUGGAAAGCUGGUUAAUGAAAACUGCAGCUUCACAAUAACAGUCUUUUAAGCAAUCCUCUUUACACAUUUCUUUCGUGUUAGAUGGAAGAGUAGAACAUGGGUUGGCUUCACGGGUUACACCUUCUUCAACAACAAAACUAAUCUCCUGUCUAUUUAAGCAACCACCUGUACUGGUAUUUUGCUGGCACCCGAAACUCUUAUCUGGUUUUGGUCAAUGAAAUCAAAACCAGGAGGACAGACACACUUACGGACUUGAUCAACAACAAUACAAUACGCAUUAGAGCCACACAAGCCAGUAGGAUCACACUUGUUGCUGGAUGACUCCCAUUCCAUUUACCAACUACCAUUUUUAUCCAAAUUAUGUGAAUACAACCUGAAAAUUCCAUCAGUGUCCAUUGUUGCACGAUAUAUAGAUUUACCAGAUAUAUUUCUUCCAUCAUUUAGAGUAUAUAUAUUAACACCAUUACGAUUAAGCAGGUAUAGGAGACCGUUGCUAUCAAGAUUUAGAGUUACAUUUUUUCCAGAAUUUCCUGUACCUGAUUUCCAGUAAAAAUAGUUUCUUUGAAAUGGGUAUUCUAAUGUAAACAUUACCAGAUUUCCAUUGCUUCGCACCUUAGUCCAAAUCUUCCACUCGUAUGAUUUAUAUUAGAAAUGCUACACACAAGUUGUUCCUCAGCCACUAGACGCUGUCCUGAUUAAAUGGUGUCCGUUGGAAAAUCAAAACUCUGCCAUAUAAUAUUCAACUCUGAAUCGUAGAGUACAAAGUUACCAGAGUUGAGCAAUGAAGCUGAGGAAGCAGGCUUAACAGUAUCUGCAAUGAGUUUCUGUUCACCACCUCCUCUUCUUUGCAAAAUAAGUCUACCUUUACUAUCCAAGAUCAGUCUGGCGUCCCCGGGAAGAGGGGAGUCCUCCCGUUUUGCUGUCCAUAUGACAGUUUUUCCCUGGAUUCUAGGGAAACAAAUGCCUAUAGCAAAGCCAUUGCCCUGUGGAUAAAAACCAAAAGCGAAAUGGCCAGAUUCUGAAGACCAAUAUGAAAUGUUAGAGGGAGUGAGAAAUGAAUCUAAGCUGAUAUUAGAAGCUACUUGUUGAGCUAUUGCUUUAGAAGAUAUGGAAGUUAGUAGAAGAAGAAGAAAUAGCAACAUUGCUGCAAAUUUUGGAGGAUGUUGCGGAAGCUAAUAUAUAUAUAUAUAAAAUCCUGAAUCAAUACAAAAGUUAAAAAGCUUUUGAACUAUAAAUGGUCAUCUCACAAAACUCUAAAAGGAACUUUUUUUUUUUUGUUCAUUAUUAAAAACUCUAAAAAUUGAUUGAAUUUAGCGUAUGGUUAAAUUGAUAAAGCAUUCUCAGGAAGAAUAUGAAAAGAUUGGUAAAAAAAUGUCUAAUAAAAAAUUUUACUCAUUUGCUUUUAUUGAUUUUGUGUUGCUAUAAUUUUAAUUAACGAUUGAACUUAUGGUGGUUAGAAAUUUAGUUUUUUCAUUCUCUUUGAUGCACAUACUGAAGAUUGGAAUGAUGAAAAAUAGCUACAAUCCUAAAGAACUAAUCCACUCAUUUGAUUUCACCCAUUUCAACAUGUGCUUUAUAAAUUGCUUGGAUGGAUUACUUUUUGUAAAAAUAGAAAUAGAUCCCUUUUGAAUAAUAAGCCUGUUCCCAUUCCAAUAUUGUUUCAUUAGAAAUGUUAAUGUUCAAAUAAAUUUAUAAGUGUUUAUCCUGAAUCAUAUAUUAUUUUAUUUUUAUAAAGUGAAAAGAUUGUUUGUUGGAUUAAAACUUUACCUUCUUAAAUAAUAGCAUUAAUCAUAGUUAGACAUGAUUACGAUUCCAGAAGUGUUGUUUUGAUUUGAAUACUGUCCGUUCCGACUAUAAUAAUGGUGGAACCACAACCGAACCGCUUUUAGGCAAUUUUAGAACCGCCACUUUCAGUUCCAUUCAGGUGUGGAACGAAAUUAGAUAACUUUUUUCAAACUUUUAAAAUUCUUGUUUAGAUUUACCAAUUCAAAUUAAAUCUUAAAAUUUAUUUAAAAAAUUAUAAUAUAAUAAACAUUUGAAAAAAAAAAUUUCUCUUGAUUUCAAAUUGGAACCACUAUUCUUAAAUCAAAACUCUGGAUUCCAAUUUUAAAAAAUAAAGAAUUGAAAUUGAACCAUAAAUAUACGGUUUCGAUUACGAUUUAAAACCGGGUAUCGUCAACCAGGAUUUGAUGCUAGAUUUGACUGAUUCAAUUCAGAUCGGUUUCGAUUUGAAACCGAAUCACGAUGAUGCCUCUGACCAUAGUUCAUAUUCAGUCCCCUCAGUCAUAUAAGAUGAUAUCUUUAUCUAUACUACUUGAACAAACUUUAUAUCUAUGGAAAUGGAACCGACCAAUAAAUAACUUCCUAUCUCAUCAAAAUACUAUAACUCUCAAAUUUUGACUUUUAUAAAAUGAUAGGUAAAUUAUUAUUUUGUCCUUUAAUUUUGUGAAAUUAACUAAAUUUUUAUAUUUUCAAAGAUACAUUAAUGCAUCUCUUUGUGGUUUGCCUCCGUUGGAUAUAGAAAUCAUUCCAUUAAUCGCAUACUUUUCCGGUUGAUUUUUAUUAAAAAUAUUAAAAAUUCUAUUUUUAUUGUACUUUUUAUGUUCAAAAAUUUUUUUAAUAACAUAGAUAAUUAUUAUUAUCCAUAAUUGAUUUAUUGAAAAAAUAAGGUUACGCUUAUAAAUUUACAUGUAGAAUUAAUAAAAAAGAAAGUUUAAUAUUUGGAAAGGAAGACUAAACUAUUGUACUGUUUCAGGUUGUAUUCGGUAACAACUUUUUAAGUCAAAAUGCUAAAAUGUUAUUUUUUACAAUGUUAAAUAACAUAGCGUUUAAACUAGCUUUAGAGGUUAGGGUAACAUUUUAUAAAAGGUUAACUCAUUUAAUGUUUAUCUUUUAGCAUUUUAUGAAAUGCUACUCAAAGAACUAAACGCUACUAAGCCUAUGUUUGACAACAAUCUUUUUAAGUUGCUUUUAGCGUUUUGACUAUUCAAAAUACUAAAUGCUAUUUUGUAUAUUGUUCGGCAAUAUGGCGCUUGAACUAGCUUUUAGAAAUUAAAGUAGUAUUUUAUAAAAAGUUAACUCAUGUAAUGUUUAGCUAGUAUUUUAUGAAAAACUACUCAAAUAGCUGACAGCUAAACACUAUUAAAACAACUAACAGGUACUAAAAUAAUUAAUUUUGCCGAAUAAAUCCUAAGUUACAAGGACUUAUUCAUGUAUUUUCAAAAGGUGGAGACUAAAAAUUUGAUUUCAUAUAUUUAUAGGUACCAAAUACCAACUCUCCCUAAAAUUUGAACUCGCUGAGCAAAUAAUGCUCAGUGGAUUUCUCAACAUAUAAAGAAACAAAUAAGCACAUACAUAUAUAGAAAGAACCAACCAUGUAAACAUAUAUGGCACAUAUAAGCUCACACAUUAUGAUACUUUCAUGAUACCUUGAUUAUCUUUUGUACUGUUUAUAAUACUGUAUAAUUCAUGAAAUGUUAUGUCAAGAUAUCUGUAUGGCUCCAUAAGGUUAUAGUGAAACCGAAGUGAUAAGAAAAACUNNNNNNNNNNNNNNNNNNNNNNNNNNNNNNNNNNNNNNNNNNNNNNNNNNNNNNNNNNNNNNNNNNNNNNNNNNNNNNNNNNNNNNNNNNNNNNNNNNNNNNNNNNNNNNNNNNNNNNNNNNNNNNNNNNNNNNNNNNNNNNNNNNNNNNNNNNNNNNNNNNNNNNNNNNNNNNNNNNNNNNNNNNNNNNNNNNNNNNNNNNNNNNNNNNNNNNNNNNNNNNNNNNNNNNNNNNNNNNNNNNNNNNNNNNNNNNNNNNNNNNNNNNNNNNNNNNNNNNNNNNNNNNNNNNNNNNNNNNNNNNNNNNNNNNNNNNNNNNNNNNNNNNNNNNNNNNNNNNNNNNNNNNNNNNNNNNNNNNNNNNNNNNNNNNNNNNNNNNNNNNNNNNNNNNNNNNNNNNNNNNNNNNNNNNNNNNNNNNNNNNNNNNNNNNNNNNNNNNNNNNNNNNNNNNNNNNNNNNNNNNNNNNNNNNNNNNNNNNNNNNNNNNNNNNNNNNNNNNNNNNNNNNNNNNNNNNNNNNNNNNNNNNNNNNNNNNNNNNNNNNNNNNNNNNNNNNNNNNNNNNNNNNNNNNNNNNNNNNNNNNNNNNNNNNNNNNNNNNNNNNNNNNNNNNNNNNNNNNNNNNNNNNNNNNNNNNNNNNNNNNNNNNNNNNNNNNNNNNNNNNNNNNNNNNNNNNNNNNNNNNNNNNNNNNNNNNNNNNNNNNNNNNNNNNNNNNNNNNNNNNNNNNNNNNNNNNNNNNNNNNNNNNNNNNNNNNNNNNNNNNNNNNNNNNNNNNNNNNNNNNNNNNNNNNNNNNNNNNNNNNNNNNNNNNNNNNNNNNNNNNNNNNNNNNNNNNNNNNNNNNNNNNNNNNNNNNNNNNNNNNNNNNNNNNNNNNNNNNNNNNNNNNNNNNNNNNNNNNNNNNNNNNNNNNNNNNNNNNNNNNNNNNNNNNNNNNNNNNNNNNNNNNNNNNNNNNNNNNNNNNNNNNNNNNNNNNNNNNNNNNNNNNNNNNNNNNNNNNNNNNNNNNNNNNNNNNNNNNNNNNNNNNNNNNNNNNNNNNNNNNNNNNNNNNNNNNNNNNNNNNNNNNNNNNNNNNNNNNNNNNNNNNNNNNNNNNNNNNNNNNNNNNNNNNNNNNNNNNNNNNNNNNNNNNNNNNNNNNNNNNNNNNNNNNNNNNNNNNNNNNNNNNNNNNNNNNNNNNNNNNNNNNNNNNNNNNNNNNNNNNNNNNNNNNNNNNNNNNNNNNNNNNNNNNNNNNNNNNNNNNNNNNNNNNNNNNNNNNNNNNNNNNNNNNNNNNNNNNNNNNNNNNNNNNNNNNNNNNNNNNNNNNNNNNNNNNNNNNNNNNNNNNNNNNNNNNNNNNNNNNNNNNNNNNNNNNNNNNNNNNNNNNNNNNNNNNNNNNNNNNNNNNNNNNNNNNNNNNNNNNNNNNNNNNNNNNNNNNNNNNNNNNNNNNNNNCUAAAUGGUACCUCAAUUGUAAACAGGCUACAACUUAAUACCCAAGCUCAAUCUUUUAAUACAAAUCAAUCCUCACCCACAUGCUUUAUCUUUUUCUCUCACUCAAAUCCACUUACAAUCUCAUUCUACCCCAACCGGGUUUGGUUCAACUCGACUCAACUCGACUACUCAACUCUAUGCUAAGACUCAACUCGGAGUAGGAUGUCACAUCACUGGCUUCAAAAAGCUAUAGACCCAUUCUGCAAGAAUAGCUUCAUCUUCUGGAACAUUCGUACUCACACUCCUUUGGCAACAUAUGAUCUCCAAAACACAAUACCAAAGCUGUAUACAUCAGCUUUUACUGUAAUGGGCUGGUUCCUAUACCAUUCUGGUGCAACAUAUCCUCGGGUUCCUCUAAUCCCAGUUAGCGUCUUGCUUUGGUCUGGCAUUAGCAGUUUUGCCCGUCCAAAAUCGAAAAUUCUUGCACGUAAAUGUUCAUCCAUUAAUAUGUUGUUAGGAUUUAUGUCACAAUGGAUUAUUUGAGUCUCACAUUCCUCGUGCAAAUAAAGAAUGCCCUUAGCUAUGUCUAUGUUGUGGGGUCCCUCCGACAUGUGGGACCCACACACAUUUGAAAAGAAAAAAAAAUAAAACAACAAGUUUUUAUUGUUGGUCAAAGAAAAAAAUGAAUAAGAGAUUCAAACGUGUGAGACCCACACACGUUUGAAUGAAGAAAAUAGGAAGGAAAAAUGGACGCGAUUAACGCAUCCAUUCGGUGAACGCAUCAAUCUCCUAUUUAUAGGAGAAGGAUUUUCCUAAACUAUGUAAAAAACAAAAUAGAAUAGGAAUAUACAAUUGAGUGUAGAAAAUUUUAGGAAAAGAUUCCUAAAAUUGGGAAAAAGAGAAAAUAGCGAGAAUUGUAAUUUUGAGGGUGUCUUUGGGAAACACUUAGAGUACCAUUAUUUUUGUCAUCUCUUUUGUACCUACUAUUUUUAUUAGAAGAAUUAUUCAGAGUUUUUGUCCCAUGGACGUAGCACAUAACAGUUGAAGGGUGAUCCACGUCAAUCUCGGUGUCUUUAUUUUUCAUCUGGCAUUUACAGUAAUUAAGUUUUACCAUGGUUAUUAUUUCUGGUGAAUUCGAUCGUUAAUAUCCAAUACAUAAUUAUUGGAGCAUUUUUCCGCAGGCCUCACUCGGGAUCAGAUAUAAUCCCAACAGUCUAAAGCAAUUCGAACUCUUUCUUGCCAACUUGGCUUCGUUUCAUAUUUGAACAGAAAGCCUGAAAGUGAUCCAUUGCUCAUGUACUCGUAAACCAGAAGUACGGUGCCUUAGUCAUGGUAGUAACCAAGUAAGCGAACAAGAUUCCUAUUGUGAGUUCUACUGAUUGAUCUCAGCUCAUUCUGGAAUUCGACUUCUCCUUCAGCUACCACUUUCUCCAGUUUCUUAACUGCAACAGCUAUCUGCCCAUUUGACAAGGCUCCCUUAAAAACAGUCCCAAAAGCUCCACUUCCCAAUUUUUCAUUAAAGCCAUUGGUUUUUCAAGUUCUUUAUAUGUAAAUGAUGUUAAAGCAACAUCUUCAAAAUUCUUCCAUUUUCUUUGUCAGACACUACUCUGCAUGCCCAGUCUCGAUAGAAAAGAACACCAAAAACUGCUAGCAGUAACAUUCCAAAGUUUAGAAAUACAAUGCCCAUUUUAAGGACGUCAGUUCCUUGCUUUUUUGUCUAUACCCUCAUUUGUUCUAGAACUUCUAAUACUUACCUUUAUAAAUGUCUCCUUUGGGUCAUCCUGGAUUCUCCCAAAUCUAAGCGGAAGCUUUUGUUUUCUGCAGUUUCGGUCCUUAUAAACUGCAGCUACACAAUUGCAAUCUCUUGAACACUCCAUUUCGCAAUCAGUUCUGGUGGUGGAUGAGAGAAUAGAGUACGGGUUGUCUUCCCAUGGUAUAAAUUGCAAUUUUUGCAUUGUGAAACUACUCUCGUUCAAACUCAUGCUUUCAUAUACUUCUGAAUUCCUCUUGCAGCCCAAAUUCUUCUGGCUCUCAUCAACAACAUAAAAACAGGAGGACAAGUACAUACAGGGCUCUUAUUCACAAGAGUUCAAUAUGCAUCGCCACACAAGCCAAUCGGAUCACUGAUAGAGAUAUACUAUUAACCAUGCAUAUGUAAUAGUAUAACUAUGAAUGAUUUUCUAUUGACAAUUAUUUCUUUGUAUUUAAUUGGAAAUUUGCAUUAAAUAAAUGUUAUUAGCAUAUGAACAAUAAUUGUGAUUAGUACAUUUUGUAUGUAUUUAAUUGGACCAAGUAGAGAAUGGAUGUUUAGUACUGACUGUUAAACAUAUUCUCUAAGACAUUAGAAAUAAUGUUUAUUGUUCUUAAUCUUGAUUUAUUUUAAUAUGAGCAAACAUUGAUUGUCUUGUGCUUUGAGUCAUUAAAGGGUGAGUUUCAUUAUUGGAAUAAUAUUCUCGGUGAAUUGGGCAAAGAUAUUUUGUGUUUGUGAAAUAUUAAUUAAUGAUAGAAUCCAUGUCUCGGUUUAGAGAUUGAUGAUGCACUUUAAGUAAGCUUAUAAGGUUUCAUAGUGUAAACCCUGCAGGUGGAUAUUGAAUCCGACACAUGAAAUAAGUUGAGCGACAAUCUUAAAGUUAUAUUGUGAUUUAAAUAAAUUGUCAGUAAGUUAUUUAAAUGACAGCAUCUGUAAUCUUAACGUGGGGAACAUUAUUUUAUUAUGUUGUGGAAUUGUAAAAUAAAUAAGGAGUUCAGUCAUGAGUUUUUAGUGGAAUAAUUCAUGAUUAAUUAUAAUAAGAAUAUGUUGGUCUACAUAGGUUCUUAUUAUAAUUAGUAGCCUGAUUUAUUUUAUUCUUGCGGUCCCUGUAGUGCCCUAAUUAUUUGGAAAGUUAAGGGUGUAUUAAAUAAUAGAUAAAUUAUUUAGUUUUAAAAUAAUUGAUAAUUAUUUUAAUUAAAUAAUUUUUUAUUUAAUUUAUUUUAUAUUAAAAAAAAAGUAUCUUCCUAUCGAAGAGAGUUUUUUUAAUAUAAGAUUUGAAAACCCUAAGAAUAGCGAGAUGGACGUUAUUCUAUUCUCUGCCACUCAAAGAGUUCCGAAAGAGAGAUAGUUAGGGAUUACUGCAGAAGAUCGUGGGUGACUCCAAGAUCUCUGGAAAGAAGACCGGUGAGCGAUUCUGCGCUUCAAGAGGUCAGUUUAUUGAUUUGUUCGAUAAUGUUUUUAGUUUGCCUCAUAUGGUUUCGAAGAGGGUUGUUUCCACUUUAUACCCGCUUUCAUCAAUCACAUGAGUUGUUGGUGGAAGGCCACUCAAUUGACCAAUUACCAUUUUGAUCCAGAUCAUGUGAAUACAACCGGAAUAUUCCAUCUGCAUCAAUUGUUUUGCGGUAGAUUGUGUUACCAGAUAUGGUUCCCCUAUCUUUCAAAAUCUUAAUAUUAUAUCCUGAGUACUUGAACUCCAGUAAGCAAAUUCUCGUUCAGUAGGAUAUUCUACUGGAUAUUGCACCAGGUUUCCAUCUGUUUGCAUAACUAGUCGAAAUCUCCCGCUUGUAUGAUUUUGUUGGAGCUGCUAGACACGAGCUCCUUCCCUUUCAAAAGGCGUUGUCUGGUAAAAUGGUGUUCAUUGGAGAAUCAAAAGUCUGCCAUAUAAUUCUUGACUGAAUCAUAGAGUACGAAGUUACCCGAGUCGAGAAUGGAGGCUGAGGAAGCAGCCCGAGGAAAAUCUUGAAACGGUAUCUGGCCUUGGUUUAGUUGGAUGAUAAGCUUACCAUCACUACUCAAGGUCAAGGUGACAGCCCCUGGUAAUGGUGGAUCAUCACCGUUUGCUGUCCAUAUCACAGUUUUCUGCCGGAUUUUUGCAAACCAAAUGCCUAUAGCAAAGCCAUCCUCUUUUGGGGAAAAACCAAAGGCGAAAUGCCCGGAAACUGAGGACCAAUAUGAAGUGUUAGUAGGGGUGAGUGAAGAACCUAAACUAAUGUUGCAAGUUCUUUGUUGUGCUGUUACUCUUGAAAAUAUGGAACUCAGAAAAAGAAGAAACAACAACAUUGCUCCAAUGUUUUUAUGGUUGCAUUUCUUAACCUUAAUGUCUUAUCCCUUUUAAAAAGAGUGUUCAUUUAUCGCACUUCAAUUCCUCAAAAAUAUGAAAUUGAACAAGCUAUUAAAUUUCAGAACUUCUGAAACAAAGUCAAAUUUGGCUUUCUUUUUUUUUUCUUUUAAUAAAGAGAAAGCAAGUUUUCUUUUAAUUGAACAAACUAUGUUUUUUUACAGGUGAUUUAGAUUACUCCCAUUUUACACGCUGCAAGAAUCAUAUGAUAUGAUUUCCAAGAUACAAGAUCAAACAUGUGUGCAUAUGCUUAGACUUGAAUUGAUUGGUUUUCAUUUCGUAUCUGGGCUGCACUUGGAACAUGUCUCCAGUGUCUUAUGUCAAAGUCAAAUUCAAAAAAGAAAAUAGAGACAAAAAACAAGAGACCAAAAUGUUGUCUCAGAUUAUUUGUAUUCUUAUAGUUCGAUCUCAAGUUUUUGGAAUGCUUCAAUUCCUAAUCAAGUGGACGGCAUCAGAAAAUUAAAAAUUGCAACUGUGAGUUAUUUAAAUGAAUCAAUGAAAGAAAAACCUAAUUAUGAGUUGCCUUACUUCACCAAAAAAAAAAAAAAAAAAAAGUACAUUUCUUAGUUUUUUCUUUCUAGAAUUGGUUGCUUGUUUCCUCUUGUUUGAUACAUUUUGCUCUCUCAUUUGAUCAAAUAAAAGGGGUCAAUAUCUUUUUAAACAACAAGAAGCACAAACAGAACACAACAACAAGAACAAUAAUCCAAUGAAUCUAAUCAAAUUAAACCAUGGCCAGUCAUAUUCGUACAUAUUGUUUACUAUACUGAAGAGGAAAACUUUUCCUAUCAUUCAUCAUACUAAGCUACCAGACAAUAUGCUGUUUACUGAAAACAAAUAAAAGAUGAAAGGAAAACUUUUCCCUGUAGUCAAUAAACCACUUAAAACUUUCUGGUCGUUUCAAAAUAUCUCUAGAUUAAAUUAAAAGAACGAACUUUUUAACGGUAUCCGAGCAACCAAACAGAAAAUAAUUGGACUCGAAUCUAAAUUGUAGUAAAAAUUUUAGGGUUUCUUUGUUGAGUUCUGGCGCUUAAAAAUGCAGAAAAGAAAAGAAAUUGAAUUACUUUUUGAGGGCAGUAGACUAAUAAACAAUCGCUAAUCCAUUUUCUAUUUUUAACCAUAAAAGGAGGAGACAACAUCAUAGAGAUUGGCAUUUGCUGGGUUACAAAGUUUAAAGUAAUAAUUUUGGUGGUAGAAUCAUUGCUUUUUUAAGUUGAUUGUUAAUAUUAAUGUACUUAAAAAGAAGAAGCUUUACUUUUAUCCAAUCCAUCAUUAAAAUUGUUGAUGAUUAAGAGGGUGCAACCAUAAUAGCAAUGUGAGAUGUGUUAGCCUUAAAACUUCAUGUUCCUUCAAAAUGUGAAAGUCACAUUCCAAUCAUAAUGAACUCUAUGUUUCUGUGAGAAAUGAUUGAGAGACAAAACAAUUUCCUAAAAAAGAAAGGUGAAUUGACAUAUUUUCUUUUAGGAAUAGCUUAAUUUUAUUUGUAGUGGAUUAAUUUAUCAAUUAUCAAUAAAAUGUCAUUCAACCAUUAAUUUACUAGUUCAAUGUUUUUCUUAUAUUGCAUAAUGUCAAGGGAUCAAAUCUUGAUUGUCACACAAUGAAAACAUAUAAUUUUAUUUUUAUUUUUAUUUUUUAUACUCAGAAGCUCAAUGGACUGAAAUAAUAUUGUGAGCUACAACAGUAAGGGGACAGUCCUCCCCUUUGAAUAAUAUUCGAGACCUCUCACUCCUAUAUCUUCCUUUUAAAUAAUAUUCGAGACCUCUGACAUUAUCUUCUACGAGAAAUAGGAAGAUCAAUCAGACCACACUUGAUUGACAAUUUAAAUGUUUAGUUUUAAUAUCAAAUUAUUAUAAUUCUAGAGAUUUAGCCAAUUUGUUAAUAUGUCAAUUGAUGUUGCUUUUUUGUUUCUCAAAAAUAAUUUACUUUAGAAAUUUUUUAAUUUUUUUUAUUUUUGGACCGCUCAAAAAAAUCAAUUAAUGUGGUUAAAGAAAAGAACUACAUCAUUUUAAAAGAAAAUAACUCUCUUUUUAAAACAAGAAAACAUUUUUCUAACGUUAAUAAAUUUAAAAUGACAAAAGAAAAAAUUUUUAAAUAUACAUCUAGUAAUUCUUCAAUUACUAGUAGUCACCUUUGAUCACUGUUAACUUCUAUAAUUUAUUCUUCUUAUACAAUUUUUACAUAUUUAGCUAUAAAUUUUAUAACUAUAAUACUUCAAAAUAUUUUUAUACUAGUACAAAGUAAAAUUCGGAUCAGUCAAUUCAAUUCAAUUCUUUUCUUUAAAUGAUUAAAAAGAAAAUAAAAUUCGGAUCAGUCAAUUCAAUUCAAUUCUUUUCUUUAAAUGAUUAAAAAGAAAAUAAAAUUCGGAUCAGUCAAUUCAAUUCAAUUCUUUUCUUUAAAUGAUUAAAAAGAAAAUAAAAUUCGGAUCAGUCAAUUCAAUUCAAUUCUUUUCUUUAAAUGAUUAAAAAGAAAUUUAAAUCAAUUUUAAAGUCGAUUGUUUGGAUUGACCCACCAGAUUGAACCAGAUUUAAUAACUAUGGAAGACAAUAUUAGGCUGCUAAGAGUUUAAAUUCUCAUGAUGCUCUGUCUUUUUUCUUUUUUUUUUUUUUUUUUAAGAAAUCUCUUAUUCACCAAAAAAAUAAAAUAAAGAAAGAAAUUAAACCUUCAAAAAAUUUAAAUAAUAUUUCCUCCAAAAUGCUUAUUAGACUAAUUGAAGAGCAAAUCACUCAAAUCAUCAUCAUCAUCAUAAGCAAAGCCCUUAAUCGAUAAAAACUUUUUACAUAACAUUUAACAUUUUUAUUAAGAUUAAAAAAUUUUUUAUUAAUUAAUCAUUCGGUAACAUAAUAAGUACAAUAGUAUUCAUAGGUUGAUGGAGCGUUUCACGAAAAGUUAAUAAAAUAGUUAAUCGCUAAUAGAAUAGUUAAUUUUAAUAGUACCAAAUAUGGAUUGAGUUGCAUACCAAGCCAUAAUCUAUUGGUAAGUGCAGUAUGAUCUGAUUAUAGAUCUAGAUUCGAAUCUCCCCUCCCUAAUACUCAAAAAAAAAUAUUGAGUUUUAUAUUAUUUAUUUCUCCUUUGACAUGAAAUGUAAAAUCGUUUUGACUAAUUUCGUAUUUAGAUAAAGUUAGGUGAACAGAAUCAUGGAUUGGGCUGAAUUUUAUAUAUAUAUAUAUAUAUAUAUAUAACUAUUAUAAAGAAAAUUUAAUGAGGGUCACUGGGAUUUUAUUUUUAAAUUCAAUGGAAGGUUGAAUUUUAUUUUUAAAAUUGAUAUCCACCUCAUCUUUAAAAUGGAUUUUACCCACUCAAUUCGGGUUAAAUUUUAUGGUUCCUCGGGCGGCUAUAAUGGCCAUCACUAUUCAGUACACUAGCCUGCUUAGCGAUUCAUUGAACGUGUCAAAUGGCGGUUGGGUUUGGUGAAUAUAUUAUAAGAUUUAUUUAUGGGUACAACGACAAGGUCAAAUUCAAGCCCAAAAGGAAAAAGUCGAAUACAAAUCUGAAAAAAUGGACUAUUACUAUAAUAGAGUACUGAGGCCCAUCUUCAUGUCAGGCAUUAGCCGCUUCACGGAAUGUUUCAUAGAUGUUCUGUUACAACAUUUAUGAUUUUCACAUGAAUGGAAUUAUCAUUCACUUCAAAACAAGACCACCAAAAAUAAAAAGAAUAAAACAUUAACCAGAAGUCGUUAUUUUUUUUUUUUUUUUUGAGGAAUACGUUAAAAUUUAUUUUUAAUGUCCCUUCCUUCACAAAAUAUAUUGUUUGAGGUUUUUACACUAUCAUUAAGAAAAAAAAUUAAAAUUUUAAAAUUAUAAUUAAACGUUCACUUUUUUUUUUUUUUUUUGAAUAUUGAGACAGUGGUUCACUUUUUCUGCACUUAUCUAUAGGUUAUAUCUUAAUAUGCAAAUGAUUAAAUUACAUUUUAUCUUACAUCAUUAAUUAAUUAGAUUAAAGAUGAAUUUGAAAAAUUGGAGAAAUAGAUUGUUUUUAAUAUAAAUGAGGGUAAAAUCUUUUUAAAAAAAUGGUUAAUUACUUCUUAAAAUUAUCAAAGCAACAAAUAUUUAUGGAUAAGAGAAUUAUUCUAAAACGACAGAUAUUUAUGUAUCGAGUCAAAACGUUGAAUAACAUUUUGAAGUUAUUUUUUCUCAAACAUCUAAAAAUUGUAUUUUUCUAGAAAGAAAAAACAAUUUGAACCACAAUAUUAAUCAAACAGAUUUCUUAAUAAGCUUCAAAAUAAUGCAUUCUUAAAUCUUCAUUGAUUAUUAUUGAGUUCCCUUUCAAUUAACUAAUUGCAACAUUAGGAUGGUUAGAGCAUUUAAAAGAAAAGUGAGGAAUUGCUUUUAAUCAUUUGUGGAAAACAUAGAAAUGAUCAUAAAAUAAUUGUACAAACUCAUACACAUAUAAUAGUGUACGUAUCUUUUACCUUGAUAGCAAGUCUUUCCUUUUGUCUUGUUUUACCUGUACAAACAUCGGACAUCUUUGCUUUAUUGUCUCAAAAAGAAAUUCAAAUGCAGAAAACAACUUUUAUAAAUAAUAUUUCAAGUUUGAAGAAAAAAGAAAUCUUUUAGGACCAUCACCAAUAAUGUCGUAUUAUCAAUAAUUAAAUACCGUUAAUUACAUUACUUGGAGAAAAUAUAUAUAAACAUGACUUAGAAAUUUAAUUAUUUCGAUUUAGGUUAUUUGGGAAAUGUCAUAUAAAUAAAGAAAGAAAGAUAUCGAUUGUUUUUACGCAUCAUUAUUUUUUUAAUUUGCUUAAAAAUGUGGAUAUAUGUCUUUUUUUUUUUUUUCACAAUUUGAUAAUUACCCUAAUCAAUAAAAUGAAGAAUAAACUUACUUUCUUUAAGUGUUUUAAACAUUAAAUCAUAUAUUACAUAAGUUAAAAUCAAUAAAUUUUAAGAUUUUGUUCGGUGUUUAGUUGUUUUAGUAGCGUUUAGCUGUUAAUUAUUAUAGUAUCUUUUCAUACAAUGCUAAACGUUAUAUGGGUUAAUCUUUUAUAACAUUAUCUUAACCGCUAAAAGCUAGUUCAAACGCUACGUGACUAAAUACUAUAAAAAUAGUGAUUUGACCGGUCAAAAUACUAAAAAGUGCUUUGAAAAAACUAUUGGUUAACACAAUCUAAGUCAGUAAUACUCGGUUUUCGAGUUUUAACUAGAAAAAAACUCAAAAAAUUGAAAAAAAAAAAAAAGAAAAGAACUCCCUUCUUAAUUUUGUUAAAAUUAAUGAAUAGAAAACCCCAACUCAACAUUUUCCACCUGUCUCUCCAAGUAAAGUGGAAAAUCAAACAAAAGCUCUUGAUCAAGCCCCACCCACCUCACUCUAUAUAUAUGUGAAUAUCAUUGUCUUGCAAUAUAUGUACUAGGCCAAAAGGGCCAAAAGACAUGAUUGGCUUAUCUGCUAAUUAGGUGAGGAUUUUUUGUCUCUGAAAUAUAUAUAUAUAUAUAUAUAGAGAGAGAGAGAGAGAGAGAGAGAGAGAGAGAGAGAGAGAGGUCACAUUAUAAUGAAUAAAGAUGACAAAUAUAUAUAAAUCCAUAAAUGUAAAUGAAUAGCACUUGCAGCUAACCCCCAUCUUCCUCUUAAAAUCCAUGUCUAUUAUUAUUCCUCACUAGUCACCCCCAAAAGCUAUAUCUCUAUGUCUCAUUUGAUGCAGACAUUACUAAAUUUUGGGGCCUAAUAAAGUGCAUUAACGUGCAUGGAUUUAUACACACACUACCUUUCUCUCUCUCAAUUAUUUUCAAUUCACUUAUUAUUCUUUUUUUUACGUCCCAAAAUAUUUGCAAUUUCUAAAUUUAUAUAAAUAAUUAUAUUUUCCGUGAUAGUCUUUGUAAUUAUACAUUAAAUGAAAACUUUUGUUAAUAUUUUAACGAGUUAUGGAUAAAAAAAGGUAAAAUGAUUUUUAUUAACUGAAUUUUUAAUAAACGUGUUUUUUCAAAUUGUAUAAACAAAAUAAAUAGGAGAGAGCACGUAAUAAUUUCUUAUCGAUUGGCCUGAUUGUGAUAUGUCCUUCACCUACUAUGUUCUAAUUUCAGAGAAAACCUAAUUAAAUUAAUGGAAAAGAUUAAUGAAUUAAGUUAUCUUUAGUUAAUUUUCUUUUCCAAAAUUAGUGGUAAAUUAAUUAAGGUUUAUAUAUAUAUAUAUAUAUAUAUAUAACUUCCUGCAAUGUGGCUUUAACGUACGUAUGAAAAAGAAGAGAAAAGUGAAAGUAAAAGAAAAGAAAAGAAGAAAGCAUGCGGGCAGGGUAUUUUUGUCUGGGAGCUUUCAACACUAAUGCAUGUCCCAAAUACUUUAAUUUCUUUUUCUCUCUUUUUUUCAUUGAUAAUUUUCUACUCUUUUGGGUUUUUUCUUUUAGAAUUUUGAAUCUCCGGAUUUUAUCUAAAUAUUACUUCUGAUCUUAACAUAAAAACACAUGUUUGUAAAAGAAGAAGAUAGAGAGAAGGUUAAAAGAACUAUUAGUUAAUUAAUUCAAUUAUUUUAAAAGUCUCUCAAAAUAAAUUUGAAAUUUGAGGUGAAACGAGCAAUAUAAUUUUCUUUGUUUUAAUGUACUUUUUCAGUUUAUGCUUUUGAAUAAAUUAUUUAUAUUUAUGUUGUAAAUGUGUUGGAGACAUAUAGGACCCCAAUAAAUAAAAUUUGCUUCAAUGAGGACAAGAGACCAAGAUUUUGUUCUCUUGCCUCAUCAAAGCUACACGAGCAAAAUGCCAAAAAUCAGAAUACUAAUAUAUUACGUGUAAGACAAGAUGUUUUCUCUUCCAAGUUGCAGAUUAUUUAGAUGGUUAAAAAAUUGGAAUCCAAACAUAUUUCAAUUUCUGCAGUUCAACGAAUUCAGAGAUAAUACUAAUAUAUAUAUUCCAUGCUAUAAUUAGAAUUUAAAAAAAAAAAAAACAUCACUUCUUUAUGUCCUAAAGCUUUUUUAUUUUAAUGUCCAAUAAUUAAGAAUAUGUGAUUUGUGUGUCAAAUAUUGCAGGUUUCUAUUUGGAAAAUUACUAAAAUUCCAGUAAAAAAAUCUUUUUAAAUGAAAGGACGAGUGGAAUAAUAAUAAUGUCUCCAUAAAACGGUUUAAACCGUGAUCGGCAACAGCUUUUAAAUAAUUUUUAGUGUUUUGAUAAGUUAAAAUACUAAAUACUACUUUUUAUAGUGUUCCAAAAUAUAGUGUUUGAACUAACUUUUAAAGGUUAAAACAAUCUUUCGUGAAAAGUUAACUAAUGUGACGUUGAGCUUUUAGCGUUUCAUGAAAAACUACCAAAACAGCUAACAGCUAACCGCUACUAAAAUAAUUAACAGUUACCAAAACAGCUAAUUUUACUGGACAGACAUUUACAGUUUUGAGAACUUCACAUUUCGACUAUAAAAGAGAACCAUAAAAUUUCACGAGUAUAAAUCGGGGAACAAUGCAAAAAUUUAUCCUUUUAUCAUUUGAUUAUUUAUUUUGUUUCCCUAAAUUUGUCUGUGAAUGAAAAAUUCGAACAUGAGUUAUUUUGCUUGUAGAGACACUAAGGUAUAAAAGUUACAAAUAAUUAUUAAAUACAUAAACUUUAAAAGUGGACUUUAUCACAAAAAUAAUAUGAUUUGCAUAAUUAUUUUCCAAAUUGAUGCAAAUUUGAAAUAUUUUCAAAAUGUACGGUGAGUUUUUUCAGGAAAGCAAAAUAUUGCUCUGAACUGUCAUUUAGUGCCCAAAAAAGAACUUUAAAGGUAAAAGUUGCCAACAAUUCAUGAAAAAAUAAUAAUAAAUAAGAAUUUCCCUUAGAAAGACGGCCUAAAUCGAAUCUAUGACCCACUUAUGAACUAAUCAAAUGAAAUUAAAGAUUUUCUAAAAAAUGUUUGGAUUUUUUUUUCCAAAUGUAUGAUAAAAAAUACUCUCGUUUCAAUUAAAAUAAUUUAUUUCAUUGAUUUUGUCCAUAAGUGGAGUUACGGAUCCAGUCUAGGUAAAUUUUUCUCUUUUCCUUUUACUCUGCAAUAAAACUUUCCAAAGGUAUAGUCAGAAAUACCUUCAUUUCAAUAUUCUAUUUCAUUGAUUUGGUUCAUAAGUAGAAUUAUGGAUCUGGUCUAAUUAAUUUUUUCUCUUUUUCUUUUACUCUGCACUAAAACUAUCAACUCACCAAUUCAAUUGACAUUUUUUGUGUAUAUACUAUAAAGUUACACCAUUUGCAACUUAAAAAAAUAAAUAAAUAAAUCCCCAAUCUUCCAAACGUUCAAUUGAAGUGGUAGUUUUAUUGCAAAGUUUAAAGAAAGUUUUUUUUUUUUCCCUCAAUUAUACACUGAUAGCUUUUGUCUCUAAAAUUUUUAUGCAUUAAGUUCAAAACUUAAUUUCUCGAAACCACUCAUGUCCUGUCUGAAAAUUGUUUCAAAUUUACAUCACUUCCGGGAAACAGAUAUUCAAACCAAAUUAGGAUAUUGGGAUAAACCAGAAAUUUUGAGUGAUUCAUUAUCAUUUUUGAAGGUUAAAGCAGAAAUAAACAAGGAAUAAGAUAGCUAAUAAUUUUAUUAAUUGUGCACUUUCUUUGAUUUGUUAAAUAUGUAUGUUUAAGUCGCAUUAAUCUUUCAUGAUCGGCUAAUAUGUAUUAUUGCAUAAAUAGUCAAAUAAAUUUAGUGUUUAUUCUGUGUAAGAUUAAUGAUAUAAAAAUCAAUAAUCCUUUUUUAAGAGUUCAAAAUCGAAAAUUAUUAAUUUAAAAAGUUUUAUCUAAAUAUUAUUCUAAUUUGAAUGUAAAAAUACACGCAGAAAAAGAAAUUCAUCAAGUAUGUGUUAAAUAUUUUUUGGUCAAAAACCAUCGGUAUCCGAAACUUCACUGGAUUUCGACUAAGUCCGGCUUAAGUACUGUAAAGCCUAUACAGAAGGCGAAUUUUUCAACAUAACAAUUUUUUUAUUAAAAACUUGAACUCGAGACAUUUCUAACCACUUCAUUCCAACUAAUGUCGAUCAGAUACGUGUAUUAAAUCUAUAAACAUGCUAAACCUACGUGGAAUUUCCCACAAUAUAUGAGUUCAAAUUUUAUCCCUAGCUGUUUCUUAGGAGCAGCACAGGACAACAAGAAAUAUAGAAUAUAUGGACAUUAUUGCAAUCAAAUGGGCACAGAGGACUAAAAAAGAAGAAAAGAGACAAGCAAAAAUACACCAACAUCACAAUAAAUACACCAAACCCCACUAUAUACCUUUGAUGUAGAAAAUGGCCCCCAUAUGCAAAGCAAGAGGCAGACCAGAGCUUUAUUUGUGCAAUUUGUGUCAAAUCAAAAGAUAGGACCCUUACUCUCUCUCUCUCUCUCUCUCUCUCUCUCUCACAGACCCACUUUACAAAAUUUGGCUUCCGCUGCACAAAGUUAGCCUUUGGAAGCAGCAGCAGCCUAUAUAUUUCUCUUUCUCAUCAUCAUUUUAUGCUUUCAUUUCUUCUUCACUUGCUUCAACACUUUCACUGUACUUACCUUUCCCUGUCAAAAUCUUGUAAUAAUAGCUCUUAACUAACAAGGCGGCUUUCAAAGUGAUUAUUAUGUUGUUCUUAUAAUAAUUCUAUCAUUACUAGUUUACUGCUAUUUGUAUUUUAUUUUAUAAGUAUGAUGCAGGAGACAUUUUACACUUUGGAGGGCUUUCGAGCUUGGAACGUGCAUGGUGUCUUUUCCGCUGAAUAAAUAUAAUUUAUUGAAGGAUAAAUCACUAUUUAGUCUAUUUAUUUUUGAAUUUUUAUUAAAUAAUUGGAUCGUUCUCAAUUUUUAGAUAUAUUAAAUUAUUUAUUCCCGUUUAAAAAUGUACUUUUAGUGUUAAAUAUUUUAUAGUGAAUUACUAUUUGAUCUUUCGAUUUUAUAUAAUGUUAUUAUUUAGCCUCUCACAUUUAAUAUAUUAUUACUGUUUUAUCACUCAUUUAAGAAUCAAAAUUACACAUUUUAAAUGAAAGAAUAACUAAAUAGUUUAACAUAUUCAAGAAUCAUCCAAUUAUUUAAUUAAAAUACAUAAACUAAAUAGCAAUUAAGAUAAAAUCUUGAUUAAAUAGUAAUUUAUCCUUUAUUAGAAGUAAACAUUAAGCUCUAUAGAUAAUUCGGUUUAAUUUGAUUCGACUUUUUAUAUAAAAAUUUGAUUUAUCUGCUUUGGAUUAAUUCUGUUUAAAUUAUCAAAACAAUAAUAUAGUUUUGCUCGAUCACAACAUUAGUUAGUGUAGUAGGUCUAUGAAUUCCAUCAUUUUUGGCUGAAUACAUAAAUUUAUCCCUGAAUUUUACAAUUUUAACCUUGUAGCACCCUAAAUUAUGUGAAUGACCUAUUAUUAUAUACUUGAACUUGCAAAUUUUGAUAACUUUACAUACUUUUUCACAUUAACAUUAAUAAUUUUUAAGGAUUUUUGCUUUUAUAUUUAUUUAAUAUGUAGUUAGCAUAGUUUUUGGAGCAAUAAUUUUCAUGUUUUUCAACUUUUUGAUAGUAUUUAAUGGAUACAAUGUUGCAAGUUGAAGUAUUUAAUAAAAUAAUUUUAUAAAUUGAAAUAUUUAAUUGGUAUAAUUUUAUAAGUUGAAGUGUUUGAUAGAUUAAAAUAAAAAUCGAGGGUGUCACAAGACUAAAAUAACAAAAUUCAGGGGUGAAAUUACGUAUUCAGCCCUUCAUUUUUCUUCUUUUAAUGAAUUUAUAAAUAUUCUCCUAAUUAGUAAUAACUAUUGGUAGAAAAACACACGCAAAAAAAAAAAAAAAAAAAAAAAGUUAAAAAACGUUAAGAGAGGGAGGGAGAGAGAAGCGAGUUAAACUUAAAUAAAAAGCUCGAAAUGGGUUAAGAAGUUAUUUCUCACAAGAGUGAAAGAGCAAUAUGCUACCUCCCAUUUUUAAGUAGAUAAGAAUUGCCAAUGUUGUUGCAAUCAAAUCGGAUUGACCGGUCAGACCGGUUAAAUUAGAAAUCAGGUGGUUGUCUGGUUCGAAUAUAAUAUUGUUCCGGAUUUUGAAAAAAAAAAAAGGGUUGGACUGUUGAUGAAAAUGGAAAAAAAAAAAACCUAGUUUUUUUUGAUAAAACCGGAAAAUCAGAUUUUUUUUUUUUUGAUAAAAACAUGUUCAUUUAAAAAAAAGUGUAGUUAUUUUUAUACAUAUAUGGUAUGGUUUGUGUGUUUGCGGGAUUCAAAUUUGAGUUUUCAAUUUGAUUAAACAAUGUGAUUUGAACAUUUGAAUGUUAAAUUAUUAAUAUUUGUUUAAGUUGGAAAUUAUUAGUUAAAAUUUUUUUAUUUAUAUAUAUUUUUUUAUUAUAUUUUCUUUUGUUAUGGGGUGAUGUCCAACUCUUACGACUAUUAGCGGACAAGGUAAUUCUUGUUUUCCAUUUCGAGUUCAUGCAAAUGCCGCCUCCACAUGGAUCAGCAAAUUUUCAAUACACAUGGGGUUAUGAUCCAUGAGCAUUGGCAGGCUUAAGCCCAAACAUAGAUUAAUUAACUGACUGGAUGCCUCCAAAAAUUGAAUCAAAAAUUGCCGAAAGUUUAUCCAGCGUGAAUAUUAUUUUGUUAUAUAGAAUGAAUAUUUAAUGAGAAUGAUAUAUAUGUUAAUUAUUGUGAAAAUAAUUUUUGUUGUAAAUAUAUACUUCUAUAAAAAAAAAUUGAAAAUUAAAAAAUUAAAAAAAGAUCCGAUUGGACGGUCCGAUCUUGGCUCAAUCAUGUCGCGGGUAUGGUUACCGGUCCGAUUCUGACAAUAUUGAGAAUUGUUAACAUGCAUACUUAAGUCGCAUCGCCAUAUUGAGUGCAAGAUGCGAGGAAAAGUAAAAUUAUAGGAGAAUAAAGGUGUGUGGAAAGCAAUAUUGCAGAUAAGUAAAUUGCGAAAAAUGUAAAUUGCUGGGGAUAAAAAUAUAGAUACUUAUAUUGAAAGGUCCAAUAAAGUAAAUAAUAGGAAUUUAAACGACAAAAUAUUGAAAUUUAACUUUGAGUGGAUUUAUGUACGUGUUAAUUGAUUGGAGAUCUUCUUCUACAAAUGUUUCUUAAAUUUAUAAUCUUUCAUGGAAUGUUCUAGAGCACCAAGUUUCUUCAUACUACGUCUUUUUUGAACAUGAAGAACGGGACUUAAUGCACCAUUUUUUGUCGUAGCUGCACGCCUUUGAACAUGGUGAUCAUGGUCAUUAAGAUGACUUGCUUCUUCCUCAAUCCUCAAUCUCUACCAUUGUAUCUUGUUGAUUGUGGCAAUCAUGGUUAUAGGCGCCUACUGUACAUCUGAUCAUUAGUGAUUGAUCCAUGUGUUACUUAAAAUACUCUUAACAAAUAACAAUUAUUUGUAAUUAUGUAUUAAAUUAGAGCCAUGAAUCCGGUCUAAAUAAAUAUUUUUAUUUAUUUGAUCUACAGAUGGAGCCAUAAAUUCGGUUUAGACAAAUAUUUUAAUUGAUUUGAUCCAUAAGUAGAGUUAUGUCCCGGUUUAGGUAAGUAUUUUCCUUUUAUUUUUGUUUCUAUUACUUUUUUUUUUCUCUUUUAUAUAUUUUGUUACUUUAACGAGAUUCAUUGAUUUUUUAUUUUAUGGAAGUAUUGUAUUUUCUUAGAUUCUUUAAAAUCUCAGUUUAAAAUCUCCUUCAAAUUGUAAGUUUUAAUAUUCUAUUAAUAAUAUCGGAGAAUAUGGUGUUUUGAGAUCCUAGGUUGCUUGUGGAGUGUGCCUCUAUAUAAGAUAUGGGAUUCGUAUCUCUACCUCAAGUGUACUGUUUUAUUUUUUUUUUUAAAAAAAAUAAUAAGUUCAAUAAUCACAUGGAGGUACGAGGUAGGACAAUUAUUUUGAAAAAAUCAAAUGAAAUUUUUUCAAAGUUUGAAAGGUUAAAUAUAAUUUUUUUAUAUUUUGAAAGAUUAAAAUGUAAAUUUAAAAAAAAAAAAAAAAAAGAAAUUUUGGGGGGCACGGCCCCCUGGCCCCGAUGGAGCUUCUUCCAGAUAGUGUAGUUCUUACUUUGAUGCAGCGCAUACAAACUAGUAUUUCAAGAUCUCACCUCAUAUAUAUAUAAAAUAUAUGAAUUAGUAUACUUCAUCAAAUUGUCAUUUGCCAGGGACAAAAGAUAGAUUUUAAUCAUUUUAUUUUCAAAAAGAUACGGUUUAGAAACGGCUGAUUUUUGCUUUCGUUAGAUAUUAAUAGGUUUAAUUAUAAAAUGAAAAAUUUCUAUUUUAAUGUCUUAACGGAAAACGUUACAAUCAAAUUUUUGAACUGAUAAAUUUUUUUCAAUUAGGUGUUUUCAUCGUACAUGGCUCGCCAAAAACUCGAAUAUGACUUGUGAAAUCAAUUUAAUAUUCAAAAAUUUACUAAGUAAUACGAUUUGUGGCUUGACACAUUGGAUUUUACAUAUCAAACAGGUUUAGUAUAAAAAUAUAAGGACAAAAAAGAAAAAAAUGUCUUUUUACCAUCUUCUUUUUCGCACUCAUCGGAUGUCUAAUGACUAAAGAACAACAAGGUACUGCAACAACGGCACCUACGGUCCUCUAUUUCUACUACAUAUUUACUUUACUCAAUUCAAAACCUUCUAGUAUGGUGUGUAGAUGGACGAGGCUGCUCUUUUGCAAUGUUACUGUCACGAUCGCCGGAAGCUGUUAGAAUUUCUCCGAUCUUCUGAUUUGAUCAAAGAGCUCCAAAUUCCAUCUGGUUCCAUCUCUCUCUCUUUAAUAUCGAUUUUUUUAUUCUGUUAACGCCAAUUAUAUUUUCCAUUGCCUAAAAUCAUGUGAGAAAAGGUUCCUUUUCCACUUCCAUUUAGAAAAGUAGAAAACUAAUAACUAGUCAAAUCAUUAGGUUUUUACCCUGAACCUGUUUAUAGGUGGUUAAAACGGAUUAGCGUGCUGAGUUCGACAAGUAUUCGCUUAACACGCGGUACGAUUAGGGUCAAUAUGAACACGAUCCAUUUAAUAAUCAUAUCAAAUUUGUAGAUACAAACACGAUACGAAAAUUAGGAAGGUGACGCAAACACGAUAAAUGUAACCCCCUAAUAUUAUAAACAGGUUAAGUGGGUCGUGUUGACCUAUAUGCAAUCCGUGUAACUCGUCUAAAAUCAUAAACAGAUUAAAUGGAUCAUGUUGACCUAUAUGACCCACUUAACAUGCUUAUACUAUUUUUAAAUUUAACAUAUUUAACUCAAAUCAUAUUUAAAAAUAUUUUUUCAUAUAUGAAAUAUAUAGAUUUUUCAAGAUUCAUGACUAAAAUAAAAAAUUAAUACAAAAAUAAAUUUUAAAUAGGUUUUAGUUGGAGUAUUUAUAUUUGACACUAAAAUUAUUUUUUUACUCUUAAAUAAACGGAUCACUCGUCCAACCUGCCUGUCAACCAGUGACACGAUAUAUUUAUAUUCAUAUCAUUAACGGAUAAUCUAUUUAUGGCACGAACUCAUUUAACCUCAACCUUUAUAUAUUUAUUUUGCGUGUUAGGCGAAUCGUGUUCGCUGUAUCAGACCCAUUUUGACACCCCUAUCUACUUGACAUGUCAAGCCACAAAUCGUCCCACUCAGCAAAUUUUUUAAUAUUAAGUGGAUCUCACAAGUCCUAUUCAUAUUUUCUGCGAGCCACGUAGGAUGGAAACACAUAAUUCAAAAAUCUAUCGGUACAGAAACUUGAUUAAAAACGUUUUUCGUUGAGACACUAAAAUAGAAAUUUUUGAAGAAUUCACUCACUCAAUUUAUAAUUAGACGGACAUUAAUAUGUCAGGCAUCUUUUUUAUAAGCUUCCACUGCUAAUUCUUUUUUUUUUUUAUAGCUGUUGUAAUUAUUAUUUUCAAUUAAUUCUCAUAAAAUUAUAUGCCUUGAAAAAAUAAAUAAUUAUUUCUAUCUCAAUAUUUUUUCGACAUUGAAAUAAUAUUGGUUGGUAUCUAUAUAAAUAUAUUUAUCUAUCUAUUUAUAUUUAUAUAAAUAUAUAAUUUCUAAGAUAUAAAUGCUUAUAUGGGAACAUCAAUAAAUAUAUAUAUAUAUAUAUAUAUAUAUAUAUAUAUAUAUAAAAAGCAAACAUUUUUUUCUCUAGAAAGUUGACAUGUGGCAUAUAUAUUUGUCAUUUUAAUUUGACAUUUGGUAUAUUUCUCCGAUUAAACUUCCACAUGACAUAGUUUGAUUUAAUUAUUUAAUGUAUUAAUGUAUUGAUUUGGUUUGAAUUUAUUUAUUUGGUUUGGUUUGAUUUGAUUUUUCAAUGUAUUGAUGUAUUGCUUUGGUUUAGAUUUAUUUUUGAGUUAUUGUUUUUGAUUUGGUUUGAUUUAAUUAUUUAUGGAUUAAUGUAUUAUUUUGAUUUGGAUUUAUUUUGAAUUAGUGCUUUUGGUUUGGUUUGAUUUGAUUAUUUAAUGUAUUACCGACUUUAAGUAAUUAUUAUUAAUUAUUAGUUUUUAAAAAAUGAUAAGUUUAAUAACAAUGAAUUAUUCAAUUAAUGUGUUGCUUUGUAACAAAUGUUUACUCUCAAAUACCAACCAUUUCCUAUCUUUAAUGUAUCUUUAACGUAUGAUUUGAUUUGAUUAUUUCAUGUAUUAAUGUAUUGGUUUGAUUUGGUUUUUUUUUAAUUUAUUUUGAAUUAAUAUUUUUGAUUUGGUUUGAUUUGAUUAUCCAAUGUAUUAAUGUUUUAAUUUGGUUUGGAUUUAUUUUGAGUUAGCGUUUGUGAUUUGAUUUGAUUUGAUUAUUUAAUAUAUUAAUGUAUUAGUUUGAUUUGAAUUUAUUUUGAAUUAGUAUUUUUGAUUUGGUUUGGUUUGAUUUGAUUAUUUAAUGUAUUAAUGCUUUAAGUAAUCAAUAUAUAUAUAGUAGGCAGAUUUUCUCCUAGUGUUGUCACGUAGGAUUCCAAUUUAAUAACAUGUGUAAUGCCUUAAUUAUUUAUUUUUAUAUUUAUUUGAAAAUAAAUUAAUUUAUGAUGGUUUAUUGAUUGAAUUAAACCGUCUUAAAUGUAAUUGAUUAAUAUAACGUUAGAAAAUUAAUAGCAUAUUAAAUAACAAUUUAUAUAAAUUUUAAUAACACAUAACUUAUGAAUUUAAUGAUAUGGACAGUUAUUAUUUUAUAUUAAAAAUAAAAAAUUAUUUUUUAUUAAAUUAAAUUAUGUUAAAUAUAAUUGAUUAAUUAUAGUUUUAGAGAAUUAAUAACAUGACGAAUUGAUGAUUUAUACAACUUUUACUUAAAAAAUAAAUUAUUUUUUCAUAGAUUUUAUAGCGAGUUAAUUAUUUUUUACAUUAAUUCUAAAAUAAAUAAAAUUAAUGAAUUUUACCACCUUUCAUUUUACUUUUUUUUUUUAUUAUUUAUCUCUAUAAAUUUUAACAUUUUUAAUCCAUACUCCUAAACUUGUUUAUCUACUAAGUUUUACUUUAAUAAUUAAAAAUCAUGACUAUUAUUUUUUACUAUUGAUAUAUCUGAAUAAUAUUUUUUUAAUAGUAUAAUAAAAUAAAUUUCAUUCAAUAAUCUCUCUCUCUCUCUCUCUCUCUCUCUCUNNNNNNNNNNNNNNNNNNNNNNNNNNNNNNNNNNNNNNNNNNNNNNNNNNNNNNNNNNNNNNNNNNNNNNNNNNNNNNNNNNNNNNNNNNCUCUCUCUCUCUCUCUCUAUAUAUAUAUAUAUAUAUAUAUAUAUAUAUAUCUAUAUAUAUUCUUUUAAUUUUUUCCCUUUAUUUUUUUCAUCGUGCAUAGCGGGGUAUAUUGAUAAUGUUAGAAUAUAGAAGUGAUGAUGUGAUAUGUUUUUCUUUAUAAUUAAUUUUUUGAUUUAAUAAAAUUUAAUUUUUUUAUUAAAUAACGGAGUUACAAACUAAUAAAGGAUUUCAUUACAGUUAAUAUAUAAUAAAUAUUAAUUUUUUUAUUAAAUAGUUUUAUUAUAAUAAAACUAGGAGUUAUAAUAUAGUCAUGGUUAAUAAAAAGUAAUUAAAUAAUAUAGUUAGAUUAACAAAUAGAAUUAAAAUAUUAAUUUCAAUUCACUAAAUUUAUUUUAUUAAAAUUAAAUAUUCUUAUGUUUCAUUUAAUUUGAAUAUAUAAGAAGUUCAAAGAGAAAAAUAAACAGUUAACUAAUAUAUCAAGUGAAAUACAAUAAUUUGCUUAUAAUAAUUAAUUUUACUAACUAAUAUUUCAGUUCAUUAUUUGAGAAUUUCAAAAAGAGCGUAUAAUUUUAUCUUUCAUCAUUUAAUAAAAAAUGUAUAAGAACAUUAUUUAAAGCAAUACAAAUAUAAAUUUUAAUAAUUUUAUUUUUUAAAAAAUUGCAUUCAAUUUAAUUAAAAAAAUAUACAAUCCGUACAUUCCGCAGGUGCAUGACUAGUUGGUUACUAUAAUUGUUGUUAUCACUAAAAUAAAAAAAAUUUAAUAUCAUAAUUACAUAUUACAAAAUAUUUAAAUAUAUUUAUUAAAUUAAAUAUGAAUAUUACAAUAUUUAAAAUUAUUUAUCUACAAAUCAUUUUACAAACAAAUUUUUAAUUAAAAACUGAUAUAUUAAAAAACUAAAUUGAAUAUUAAAAAACUAAUAUUCAUUAAAUUUGAAUGCAGUAGCUAGUACUACGUGUAGAUUUGUUUGCGUAUAGAAAUAGUCGAUCAAUUUUUUUUGCAGAGAAGGAGAAUGAAAAGUAAAAUAAUUAAUAGUCAAAGUAAAAGGAGAGAAAGUCUAGAGAAUUGACGGCUAAGAUCGUUUUUGGUUGACCCAUAGGCUUUUACUUUUCUUUUAUAGAUUUUUUCUGUUGUUUUCAUUUCGCCUAGUUUUUUAUAAAAUCGGGUUAAAAUCAGGUGAUCUCCGAUCCAUAUCUAAAGACGAUCACACCCUGUAGAGUCAACUUCUCGACAAUCAGAAACCCAAGUCAAAUCACUAAGGCAAAGAUUUUUAGUUGAUGGGUAAAAUAUAAUUGGUUCCACUUAUAUUCAAAUUAACGUUUAAAUCCCUUCAUGUUUGAGAAAUAGUUAUGACAUUAACUCGUAUUUUCAUCUCGCAAUCUAUUUUUCUAUUCAAAUGGUUAAACAUUUUUUAGAUACACUUUUAGAUUGAAAGAGAUUACUCUUUAAAUAGAAAGACCCUAUAGUGAGAUAAAGCAUAGGUUAAACAUGUUAUAAUCAUUUCUCAAAUGUAAAAAGGUGUAAAGUGUUAAUUUCAAAAUAUUAUAUUUGAUCCUUAAUUAAUUAAAAUUUCAAGGAAAAAAACUCAAUUUGCCUCUGAAAUUUGUGAAUAUACUCAACUUUUUGUACAAUUUUCCUCUAAACUUAAUAAAUUGUCUUUUAUUGGAUUUAAAAUUUAAUUUGGAUUAUAAUAGUAAUUGCCAAUUUGCAAAAUUAUACUCUUGUUAUAGAUAACUGUACCAUACUAUUUGCAAAAAAAAUAAGAGAAAAUUAACUUCUUAAUUCAGUACAUUUGACCAGUUAAAAGAAGCACAAACUUUUUGGUUCUAAAAAAAAUUCAAAUCUUUAAUUGAGAAGAGAUAGAAUCCUCUUAAAUGGUUCCCUCUCCUUUGCCAAUUGAUGUGUCUGUCCCGGUGGGGCAACCACCAGGUGUCACACCUCUUUCUUUUUGUGAUUGUCUUCUUUCUCAAUCUUCUCGGGCAUUGAAGCAGCCUUCUAUUCUAAAAAGUUCUAGUUUCAGUUACGAGAUACCUAUGUUGGUAGGAUUUGUUUGGAAUAUGAAAAGGCAGACCCUUUGAAGCCAAAAGUUGUGGUUGAUUGGGAGGUGAUGCAAGAACUUAGUGAGCAAUGGACUGAUUCCUUGAUUAUGAAGGUCUAUAGUAAAUCGAUUAGCUAUACUUAUUUAGUUAAUCGCUUGAAUUUAUUAUGGAAACCAGUUGCAGGUUUGGAUGCGAUUGACUUAUGUUAUGGUUUUUAUUUAAAUAAGUUUGAAGAUAAAGAGGAUAUGUUACGUAUUAUUUCUGAAGGUCCUUAUUUGGUUGGCGAUCAGCCUCUUUUUAUUCAAAAGUGGAAACCUGGAUUUCAGCCUUCGACGACAUCUAUUUCUUUCAUGGUUACAUGGGUGAGGUUGAGUGAAUUCCCUAUAGAGUUUUAUUGUUAUAAAGUUCUUUUUACUGCCGCUAGUGCGAUAGGGACCCCAGCUAAGAUUGACAGGCAAACGGCUAUGGCUACACGUGACAGAUUUGCUAAAGUAUCUUUGAAUUAGAUUUAUCUCGUCUUUUGAUUCCACGAGUUUUUGUUAGUGACGCUUAGAGGAGGGUUGAGUAUGAAGGCAUUGUUGGGUUGCUCCUGUGGUAGGGUCGAUCAUCGGCUGAAAGUUUGCUCGAGUCUGCUGGGUUGGAGGUUGAGGUUGUUAAGGAGUCUUCUUAUCCUCCAAAUAUGGCUAUGAGUGAAUUUGUUUUGCAUUCAAAUGUGGAUAUUGAGAAUUUCGAGCCUUGGAUGGUGGCUAAGCGAUAGAAAUUUAAAAUAAAGAUUUAGGUGUGGAUAAGCCUUCAUCUCGUCGGUUGGGGUGAAAGCCAAUCGCUUUGCUUCCUUAGCUAAAGAGAAUCGCAUGGUGAAAUCUACUAUGGGUCAUUUGGGCUCUAAUGGGCCUACAAUAGUGAAGCAUCGAACUAAUGGGGGUAUUAAAAAGGGGAAGGAUGAUGUUGUGGAUUUGAGUGAAGGUUUGGGUAAGUUCCUGUGUGUUCUAGAAGAUGAACCUUCAGUGCAUCAGCGAAAUAUUGUUCCUUUAAUAGGGUCUGUUCAGGGUGUGGCUCGAUCUGUGACUUGUCUGCCUAGCUGGCCUUUAGGCAUUUUGGUGGAGCUAGUUAAUGGAUCUCAGUUGCCAGUGGAUAGGGGGGAUCGGGCAAGUGAUGUUAUUGGACAUGGGUCUGUUGUGGAUGGGGCCUUCCAUGCUUCACGUGAUCUUACUUUGGGUUUUGACUUGGUAAAGUCCACUGCACCUCCUUCUGUGGGUGCAGGUUUGAAUAUGGUUAAGGAUGGGUCUCAUAGUCGGGUCCUAUAGUGUUUUGACAAGUUGAAAGAUCCUAACCCGCCUGACCCACUGGUUGCUGGGUUUUCUUUGAUUUUACAAGCGUAGGUUGUUGGCAUUAGUGGGGUUGGUGUUGACUAUGUGGCAUCAGGUUCUUCUUCUCGUGACGAUAAUGAAGAGCAUUUUUCUAGUGGUGUUGCAGCUGGAGGUACUGUGUUGUCCCGCCGUCACUCUCAUAGUCGCAGCCGUAGCCCUCGGCAGUCUCGUUGAAAGGUGUUGUUCUUGUGUUCUUUUUUUAAUUCAUUUAAUAUGGAUUUAAAAGUUAUUAUGUGGAAUUGUGGUGGUGUGGCUAAGAGGGGUUUUAGAAUUUAGGUGAAGGACUUCCAUAAAUUGCAUAGACAUGAUAUUUUGAUUGUUAUGGAGCCUCAUAUCUCUAACGCUCAUGUUGUUUCUGUAGCCCGUAAGCUUGAUUUUUCGAAUUUUAUUCUUUCUCACCCUUUGGUUUUUGUUGGUGGUAUGUGGAUUUUGUGGCAAAAUUAUUUUUGUAGUAUUCAGGAGCUAUAAGUUAUUUCUCAAUUUGUGCACUGUUCUAUAUCUGUGCCUGGUUAUGUUGUUUGGUUUUUAACUGCUGUCUAGACUAGUCUUGUCUAUUCUCAGAAGGAUUUAUUUUGGUCUCGGAUGUUCGAUAUUGUUGGUCAAAUGGUUGCGCCUUGGUUGCUUUUUAGUGAUUUUAAUGAUAUUGCUAGCCUUGUAGAGAAGAGGGGUGUUGCUAUUACUUCUGUUUUAAAUUGUAGACACUUUAUGGAUACUGGGACCAUUGUUCCUUGAUGGAUUUGGGUUGCUUAAGGUGUCAGUUUACAUGGACUCAUUCUAUUGUUGGUGUUAAGGUCAUUCAGGAGCGUCUAGAUAGGGCUUUAUGUAAUUCAGAUUGGUGGUUUGCUUUUCCUGAGGCGUCUGUUAUGUCUUUGCCUCGUCUUGCUUCUGAUCAUUUUCCUUGUUGUUGGCUACUAAAGUUUUUCCUUAUGUCCUUGUGUUUAAACCUUCUUGGUUUGAAGCUACUUGGGCUACUAGGGAAGAUUUUCAAGCAGUGGUAGAUUCGGCUUGGGCUUAACCACAUUCUUCUAUAUUUGGUGCUCUUUCGAAUGUUCAGGAGCAGACUUGUAGUAGGAAUCGGGAUGUGUUUGAUAAUAUCCAUUAUAAUAAGCGGGUCCUUCUUCAUCGUAUUAAGGGGGUUCAGGCAGCUUUGCAGCGUCGGGUCUCUACAUUCUUUCUUAAUCUAGAGAAGGAUUGUUAUCUUAGUAUAAUUUGAUUUUGCAGCAGGAGGAGGUUUUUUGGUUUCACAAAUCUCGCAUUCUUGGCUUUGGGGUGGUGAUCGGUGCAUUAAAUAUUAUCAUGCUAUUACCCGGGUUCGUCGGAAAAAAAAUAAGAUCGAAUGUCUUAAAAAUGAUGCUGGUGAUUGGAUUUCGGAUCCUACUACUCUGAAGGGUUUAGCCUGUGAUUAUUAUGCUAUUUUAUUUUCUACUGAUUCUUAAUUUUCUCCGUCUGUGUUCUCUGGUAUUGUUUUUUCUCAUUUAUCAGCAGAUACUGUGGCGGAUAUGAUGAGGCUGGUUUCUAGGGAUGAGGUUUGGGCGGCAGUCUCUAGUAUGGGUUCUUUUAAAGCUACGGGGCUUGAUGGGUUCCAACCUUUAUUUUUUAAGAAGUAUUGGGAUAUUGUAGGUGAUGAGGUGGUCUCUUUUGUUAAUCACACGUUUUUUACUGGUGUGAUGGAUCCCCAUUUGGCUAAAGGUUUUACUGUUCUCAUUCCUAAGGUUGCUACUCUAAAAUUUAUCUUUCAGUUCAGGCCAAACACUCUUUGUAAUGUCUCAUAUAAGGUGGUUAUGAAGGUUUUGACUCUUCAGUUGCACCCUUUUUUAUGGAUAGGUUGAUUAGUCAUUUUUAGAGUAGCUUUAUCCCGGAACGUACUACGGUUGAUUUCCGGAGAUCUAAGUCUAAAAUGGGUUAUUUUGUUUUGAAAGUUGAUUUGGAAAAAGCUUCUGAUAGAGUGAAGUGGGAUUUUCUGGGGUUUGUUCUGGUUUCUUUUGGCUUUCCUGACUUGUGGGUUUCUUUGAUUAUGAGUGAUCUUGUCCAGUCUUGUUUGGCAGUGCUUUGGAAUGGGAAUCAUUUUGGUUAUUUUGUGCCUUCUCGGGGUCUGCUUUAGAGUGACCAUUUAUCCCCUUAUCUGUUUGUCCUUUUUAUGGAGGGCUAUCUUUAUUGAUUCAACGUCAGGUGGUUAGGAAAAAGUGGGUCCCGGCUCAUGCUUCGAGGGGUUGUCCUCCUAUUAGUCUUCUGCUAUUUGCCGAUGACUUAAUUAUUUUCGGGAAAGCUUUUGUGCAACAAGCUAAAGUAGUUCAUAAUGCUUUGGCGAACUUUUGCAAAGGAAGUGGGCAGAAGGCCAAUCUGGCCAAAUCUCGCAUUUUCUUCUCCAAGACGGUCUCUCAUCCUAUACGACAUAGGCUCCAGUAGUUACUGGGUGUGGCGAUUACCUCAAAUUUAGGCAAGUAUCUGGGGGUUCUUUUACUUCAUGGGCGGUCUCCUGUGGCACUUUAUCAGGACAUUAUUCAGAAGGUGGAGGUUCGUUUGGCGAAUUGGAGGUCCCGUUUGCUUAGUCCUGCUGGUAAGGAAGUUCUUAUUAAAUCUUUUGUACUUCUUUACCUGUUUAUACUAUACAAACUAUGUGGUUACUUUCUUCUAUUUGCAGGACUAUUGAUAAGUUAUCUCGUAAUUUUUAUUGGGGGUCUACGGUGGAGCAUCGUAAGAUGCAUUUGGUUGGGUGAAAUUGGCUUAAUAAGCCUAUGAAGUUUAGGAGUUUGGGUUUCCGGAGUGCCUGUUGUUUAAUGUUGCUGUGUUGGGUAAGUUGGAUUGGAAGGCUUUUAUGCAUGACUCGGUUCUUUGGGCCUAGCUUUUGACUCAUAAAUAUUGUCAUGGUCGCUCUUUUCCUCCGGUCUUGCGGGGUUGUGAUUCUUGUAUUUGGAAGGGGUUUGUUUGUAGUUUCCAGCAUCUUCAGUCUCAUAUUUCUGGGGGUGAGGAGCAUCUUUAGGUGGUCGAUCUUAUUCAUAACGAUUAUUGGGAUCUUUCUGUGUUACGUAUCUGUAUUUCUGAUGAUAUUAAGUGCUUAAUUUAUGCGGUUUCUCUUCCUUUGGUUGCUUCUGUUCAAGAUUCCAUUUUGUGGAAUUUUUCUUCUAAUGUUGAGUUUUCUAUUAAAGCAGUCUAUUUAUCUUUAUUAUUGGAGGAGGUGCAUGUAGGUAUUGAUUUUGUUUCUUUCUCAUGGAUCUGGUUUGUUGAUGGUUUGCCUAAAUUGAGAUAUUUUCUUUGGCUGAUUCUGCAUAGCUGUUUGCCUACUAAUUCUUUUUUCAGUUUUAGAGAGGUAUGACCCUUUCUAGUCUAUGUAGUUUAUGUUCUAUGGAGGAGGAGUCUCUGUUGCAUCUUUUUCGUGAUUGUGUUGUGGUGCGAGCAUGGUGGUAGCAAUGGAGUUUGCCUCCUAAUUUUUUUGGGCUGGAUGAUAUUGUGUUGUGGUUGCGUUUAAAUUUAUCCUUGCACAUGCCUGGUCCCUUUUGUAUCUCCUAGCAUCAUUGGUUUUUAGCUGCUAUUUGGUGGGUUUGGAAAGCGAGGAACUUGUAUGUUUUUUGAAAUGAACUUAUUGUUAUUUCUGCUUUUAAAUCGUUGUGUCUUUAAAGUAGUCAGUUUUGUGUAGCUGGGUUUAAGCCUCAGGAGGGUUGGAUGAAGUUAAAUUGUGAUGGCAGUAGUCUUACUAAUUCAAGGUUGACUGGUGGUG
rnacentral:lncRNA from 1 species